rnacentral:lncRNA from 1 species
CACCGUCCAAUACCGACGCAAAGGCUAUUUCAACAGGAAAUUCUUCGCUGGCCAUGAAAUCUAGACAUGAAACAUGGGUUGGUUAGCUAAACAAUUGAAGAAAUUUCGCAAUCAACAAUGGGGCUUAUGCACAUACGGUAUGUGAUCAAUUGAUUUGGUAUUUUAAAUUAAUCUUUGGUCAAAUUUUGGUCUCUGACAUGAACUGGUUUAUAUUGUUUGAUUAACAGACAUUGAUGGUUCAAACAUAUUCAAUGUUUUUUUUUGUAACAUAUUCAAUGGUUGAUUGGAAUAGUAGUAGGCUGAAGCUGCCUCUUUUCUUAUUUAAUAUUUAUUAUCUUAUCAAGUAUAUUUACAUUGAGGAAGACCAUGAAAAACUUCAUGGUAUACUACAUUUUUAGUGUAUUGUACAUAAUUCUCAUCACUUUCAAACCCGCUUGGGUUGGUGCAUUGGUAUUGGUUUGGGACCUGGGAGUGUGCUCCUCUUGAGGUCUGAGGUUCGAUUCUCUCUGGUGUCAAUUUGAGUGGGCUAAUUUAGCUUCUUCAAAAAAAAAUUCUCAUCACUUUCAAUAAUGAGAAUCCUCAAACCGUUUGGUGAAGUCACCCUUGAAAAAGCAACAUACCACUGUUCGUGACUAAAUACAGGUUUUGGCAAAUAUAAUCCCACAUAAUUUAAUGACUGACCCUGACAAAUAAGAAGAAUAUGCCACUUCUUUAUCUAAAACACACAUAGCAAUUUCAAAAAUACUCCCAUGACAAUUAUUCAUAAGUAAAAUAAACAAAGAUAUAUAUGCAUACCAAAAUAAAAUAAAAAAGCCAAAGCAAGAUACGAAGAAUUUUCAUUUUACACAAAGGAGAUAAAGAAACACAUCGGGGUACUAUGGUAAUAUUUUAUUAUAAAGUUUCAUUCUAUUAUUUACACCCCAAAUUAUAAGAAAAAGGAACUUAAUUAUUUAUCUUUAUUACCGUUUCAUUCCAUUCUUUACCACCAAUCCAAAAAUAACCUUAAGAAGGAGGUCGUCCAGGACGUCCGGGAAAUAUCCUUGGUAUACAUCUAACGCCCUCUUCAGGACGGGUACCUUGAUGGUGGCAAGUAGGAUUUACCCGAACCUUACUGGAAUGAAUAGUUGGACCGUCGUAAUUGUGAGCAACUAGUGUUUGCGGAUGAGUUGUUGGUGAUUGGUAACUGAUGAGGCCAUCGGAUCCAGUAGCAACCUCUUCAUGUAAAUUUUGGUGAUGCUUGAGAUUCCUUGCAGUGGUGAGAGAAAAAACUGCAAGGAACGAAACUAGCACAUAUACUAAGUAAUAAUUAGACAUCUUUGUAGCUGCAUAUGACACUCACAAAUAAUUAGUUUGGAGGUAGGGCUGUAUUUGUAUACAUAGUGACAACUUUCUAUAAAUUCUCGUGUGUAAAAAUUAAUUAGAAUAAAUAAAAGUCAAGCCCAUCAAAUUGGAAUACAAGUAAAGCAACAUUGUCGUUUGUGAACAAUAGAAUAAAAGUCAAGUCUAUGAUGAUACUCUCUUGUGAAAAGCCUCUCGGAGAAAUUUCAAACAUCAAGCUUCAAAUCUUAAAGACUAGAGUUGUAGGUUUCAUCUUCUUCAUCUCAAUUAAUCUUCGUGUUCUGUCUUCAUCUUUGACUGGAUCGGUUGAGAAGGGAACGACACAACGACUAAAGUGGUGGCAUGCGCGGUGCUUUUUUGCCGUCUCUACUAUUCGAUUUGUUUCUUCGAAUUCACUUCCAAUUUAUAUUUAAAUAUAAAUUUUUAAAAUUUAAAAAGAUAAAAUAAAAGUAGUGAAAAUCUCAACUUAUAAAUCAAAUUUUGAGUUUCUUUUUUCUUUUGAGAAACUUUUAAUAAUACCCUAAACAUAAAUACAAAAUAAUAAUUCAAAAACACACCUUUUUUUUUCUUAUAAUAUUUUUUUAUAAUAAAACACAUAUUUGUUUAACAAUAAAGACUGAAACUUGUGCAUAUAUAAUAAUUUUGUAUGACCAAAACAUGUUACUUUUUUUAUAGAAACCAAAUAUAUAUUUAACCUAAAAAAAAGCCAAAGUAUUGUCACUGUCAGAGCAGAAGUUAGAGAUUAAUCUUUCAAGAUAAAUACUUUCACCUAUUCUCGACUUGUUCGGUUGUUCCAUUUCUUUUUUUACCAAAAGUUAAAGACUAAUUCUUUGAGACACAAAUUUAUUUAAGAGAUUGAUCUCUCUCAAUAAACAACUUUCGAACCAUAGUUACAUGAGAUGAAGUUCAUGAAUUUCUUUAUUUUUAAUUAAAAAAUAUUUUAAAAAUUAAAAUUAUUAAUAAAAGUAUUAUUUUAGCAUUUUUUAAUUGAAACAAUGAUAAAAAGGACUAACAUGUGCAUAUUUUGAUAGAUAAAGGACCUAAAUGUUUCAAAAAUAAGAUAAAAAACCAAAAUGUUACAAAAAAAUAAGAUAAAAGACGUCUAGCGUAAUUUUGCCAAUAUAUAUACUAUUUGAAUAAAAAGAAAGAAAAUCAAUCUAAAGGAUGAUUUAUUUCACAUUUUUUUAUAAUCUGGUUUCGCGUCCGUACGCAGAUUCGCUGGGUUGCCCAAUUGAUUAAUGAAUUUUUAUUAUGAUAGUUUAGGGUUGACACUAGAUCUGUUUUAUAUCGAUGUAUCCCUAUUUGAGUUGUAUCUGAUAGUCAAAUUUAAUAUUCCCUAGUCUUUGUAUUUUUCUGUUUAUUUAUUUUACUUUUACUUUUGAAAAAAAAUAAAUAAAGGAUGAUUUCUGAUAAAACAAAAUGAUCAAAAACCCUUUUUCAUUAGUGGAUGAAAAGAAGAUAAAAAGGAUUUGACACCAUCGGUGCGUAAAAUUCCAACAAGGUGUAUUUCAACAAGGAUUUGACACCAUCACUUAUUUAUCGAUGUAUCCUUAUUUGAGUUGUAUCUAAUAGUCAAGUUUAAUGUCUCCUAGUCUUUGUAUUUCUCUGUUUAUUUAUUUUACUUUUACUUUUGAAAAAAAAAAUGAUGAUUUCUGAUAAUACAAAAUGAUCAAAAACCCUUUUUCAUUAGUGGAUGAAAAAGAAGAUAAAAAGGAUUUAACACCAUCAGUGUACUUGUGUUAGAGUGUACUACAUAUAGAUAGAAAAUUUGNNNNNNNNNNNNNNNNNNNNNNNNNNNNNNNNNNNNNNACAAACAGAUAGAAAAUUUGUAUUAAAAAUUGUGUGUUUCACUUAUUUAAACGAGCACCAUCUAGGAGAAAAGAAAAAGGAGAACAACAAGAAAAUGGGGUAAAAAGAAAUAGGUCCACACUGCACCAAGACCACUAAAACUGAGUGUCACCACCACGUCGCAAGUUCCUAAUAAUUAAUUAAUUAAUUUAAUUUAUGGUUAAAAUUAUAUAGUUAAUUCAAUUACAUAAAUAAUUACAAUAUUCAUAAUUUUUUAUCAACGUGAUCUAAGUUAACCGACCAUCUAAUUUAUUGAAUUAACAAGCAAGUUGGUAGCGGAAAAUUUUUAUGUUAUGCUUUUUCUAAUUAGUGUACUGAUCCUCUAACUUAUUUACAAAGUACAUAAACCUCUAUUGUAAGGGUUGAAGUACCCUCCCUUAUAUUNNNNNNNNNNNNNNNNNNNNNNNNNNNNNNNNNNNNNNNNNNNNNNNNNNNNNNNNNNNNNNNNNNNNNNNNNNNNNNNNNNNNNNNNNNNNNNNNNNNNNNNNNAUAUUGGUCAUUAUAAAUCUCAACUUUCACUUUGUAAUUAAUAGGCAAACUAUUGUUAAUUUUAUUCCAAGUUUUAUUUGGUUUUCUUAAACAAUUCCAUGUUUUAUUUGGUUUUCUGUUUUUAGUUUAUUUGAGGCCUACUCACCAUAUUAAUGUGUGAGUAAUUCUCUACAAAAAAAAAAUAUAAAUUUUGAUUUUUAAAAAUAUUAAAAAAAAUAAAAAAUUAAUCCAAUUUAAAACUUACUUGUUGGUAUAUAAUUUUAACUAAUGUGACAAAGACACUUGAUUAAAUUUUUUUUUUUAACCAAACAAACUUAAUUCAUAUCAUUAACUAAUAAAUGUUCAAUACAUAAGGGAAUAAUCUCAAAUCUAUGGAAACUAGCCCAAAUAUUGACCGCCCUAGCAAGAGUAUGAGCAACCAAAUUUGUUUGUCUCCUAACAAACUUAACCUCAAAUCACCUUUUUUCAAAACUUAACCUCAAACUUAACCAAAGACACUUGAUUAACUUAAACCUUAUUAAAUUGACUAAUUAAGUUCUUUAGUGUAUGUGAUUAAAUUGGUAGUAUUUUAUAAACUUUAAGUAUCUAUUUGAACCAUUCUUUGGCCAACACCUUUUUUUNNNNNNNNNNNNNNNNNNNNNNNNNNNNNNNNNNNNNNNNNNNNNNNNNACAAAUCUAACAUAAUUAAUUGGUCUUCUACACUACACAUGGUUCUACUUCUUCUACCGUUCAAAACACACUAAUCUAUCUACAGAAAGUUUGUUGUCACUAUAUAUGAUAGAUUUUAAUAAUUAAUUUACCAAUCAAUUACAUACAAGUCAUGCUCUUAUACAAAUGUGCGGAAGCUAGAUAGAACAAAAGGAGCAUACAUAUGUAACCUGAAUCUACGACAUGUCAAUUGAUUAGAGAUAUCAGGAAUACCUGGAUCCAUUGAGAAAGUCCUUUAGCAAUAGUCCUGGAACACGAAAGGUUAGACGAGCAAUACGUACUCGUUGGCUAGUGUGGUUCUUCCUCAACCGGUACUCCUUAUGCCUUGAAUUCUCUUCAGAUGGGGAGAAGAGAUUAUUUGCUUGUGUACGGUAUAUUGGGGACCAUAGCCUAUAUAUAGUGUGAUGGCCAAUUAGGGUUCCCAUUAUUCCGAAAUUGGUCAUCCUGACAUCCACUCAUAUUUUCGUCCAUAUCCACUAAUUNNNNNNNNNNNNNNNNNNNNAUUUAGCCUUUUAACUUUAUCUGAUUACUUAUCAACUAAGGCUCUUAUUAUGAUAAAUAGCUAAUAUAAUUAAUUUAAAUAUAAAUGCCCACAUAACAAUUAUUGGAAUAUAAUAAUUAAAUAUAAAAUAUUCCAACAAUAUAUAUAUACAAAAACUAGUAGUAUAUACGAGCUACCUUCAAACUAAUUAAAUCUAGUAUACAAAAUGAUGUCUUACCUAUCUUUGCUAGUUUGGUUCCUUGCAGUUAUCACCCUUACCAUUGCAACAAAUCAUAAGCAUCAAAAUCCUCAAAAAUACCACCCUCGUUCAUUAGAUGGUCAACUCGACCAAUUUCGUAAGAUACACUCCAUCUGGUAUAUUUGACGUUUUAUUUAUAUUUAAGAUCGAGGGAGAAUAAGAAUUAAAUACUUAUCAGUUUAGAAUUGUUGGUCAGCUCCGCUGUUUAUUAUAUACUCUCAAUUCAUAUAUGGUAUUUUUAAUUUUGGUCAANNNNNNNNNNNNNNNNNNNNNNNNNNNNNNNNNNNNNNNNNNNNNNNNNNNNNNNNNNNNNNNNNNNNNNNNNNNNNNNNNNNNNNNNNNNNNNNNNNNNNNNNNNNNNNNNNNNNNNNNNNNNNNNNNNNNNNNNNNNNNNNNNNNNNNNNNNNNNNNNNNNNNNNNNNNNNNNNNNNNNNNNNNNNNNNNNNNNNNNNNNNNNNNNNNNNNNNNNNNNNNNNNNNNNNNNNNNNNNNNNNNNNNNNNNNNNNNNNNNNNNNNNNNNNNNNNNNNNNNNNNNNNNNNNGCUCCGCUGUUUAUUAUAUACUCUCAAUUCAUAUAUGGUAUUUUUAAUUUUGGUCAACUAGUCUAAUGGUUAGAAAAUUCAUUUUGAUUGGUCUAGUGGUAUUGACUUGGGACCUGAGGGUGUGCUCCUCCUUAAGGUCUCAGGUUCGAUUCUCUCUGGUACCAAUUUGGAUGAACUAAUUUAGUUUCUUCAAUAAAAAAAAAUCUAGGGGCUAGAAAUUCCAACAUUAAUAAGGAUAAGUGGGAUGACCGAAUUCGAACCUCAGACCCCUACAUAUAUAAUAUAAUGUCUUUGUCAACUGAGUUAAACUCACGGAAUAAAUUUGGUUGUAGAGUUAAUGUCUUUAUUUGUUCGUGGAGUGUGGUUAUUUGUUUUUGAGUAAUAAUAUUUAUAAAUCUAUUAUGUUCUACGCAUGCGAGAUUUGGUUGACCACAUUAAAAAUUGUGAUAUUAAUUCAAUUCAUAAGUAAAAUUAAGUAAAAUUAAUUUCAUUGUGAGUUUGAGCGAGUUCAAUUUGAAAGUGACUUAAAGUUGUUGAUUAAAGAAAAAAAAGAUAUGAAUUAAGUUUGUUUGGUUCAAAAAAAAAGUAAAAUUAAUUAACCUCAAAUUUUGAAUGUGAUUUAAAUUAAUUAUAUAUGCAAUUAAAUUAAUUAACCAAAAAAGAUAUGAAUUUUUAUAUAUCGAUUACUUGAUAAAAAAAAUAUUAAUCAUAUUUUUGUUUGUUUGUCUUUAUUACCGGCAGUCGUGAUGUGUGAUCCAUAUUUUCUAUCGAACUAAAGAUCUAUAGCGUACUACUCAAACCUCAUAAUAUUUUACUAAAAUGAAAAAUAGCUUUCGAUUAUAUCAAUGGAUCAUUGUUUCGAAAAAAAAAUGGAUCAUAUAUUUACUACUAUGGGCCCGUUUGGAUUAACUUAUUUUUCAGCUUAUGCAAACAGUUUAUGUAGUAUAAAUUAGAUUUUAUGUUAUUUUAUAAGUUUCCACUAGUGAAAAUUGCAUUUUUAUAAGUUAUUUUAUCAUAAACUAACUUAUAAUAAUACAUAAAUAUUUAUUUAUUUGCAUAAGUUGUUUGAAUAAGCUAAAAAAUAAGUUGAUCCAAAUCGUCCCUAUAUCAAGUAAAAAAAAGCAAGAAUAUAUCAAGCAAAACCAACAAUGUAAUGUGCAGUGACGCUCUCGAUAAAUAAUCAUGGAAAAUUCACACACUCGCGAACUAGAUUUAAGAUGAAACCUAAAUAAAUCAACAAUUUUCAAGAAUUAAAAAAAAUUACUUUGAUUUAGUCAAAAAAAAAAAAUACUUUGAUCAAACAAUUAUAUGGUUCGUAUUUAUGCUUAACAUAGUUUGUUCUUGAAAAAAGCAUUCAACAAAUAAGUUCAAUCAUGCAAAUAGACUUUUUUAUUUAUUUUAUNNNNNNNNNNAAUAGACUUGAUUUAUCACGAACAUCGGGAUGGCCAAACAUGUGAAAGUGUACUCUAACAAUCAACACGUACGUUUUUAUAUCGUUUACAUUUGACAUUUUUGACUUUUUAGUACUAGAGGUUGUACACCUUUUGAAAAGAGCUCAGAAGGUCAUGCACAGUAAUGUUGUGUCACCUAGGUCUAUGAAUGUAGUUUUUCAAAUAUUAGGUUUUGCUAUACAUAAAGGUUUAGCGGCGCAACUUGUUGCUUGUCUACCCUUUGUUCAUGUGUAAUUAUUUUAUAUAUAUAUAUAUAUAUAUAUNNNNNNNNNNNNNNNNNNNNNNNNNNNNNNNNNNNNNNNNNNNNNNNNNNNNNNNNAAAAAAAGAAAAAAAAAGACCCUAAGUGGCAAGAUUCAAUUUUUUUUACCACAAGUAUCUGGCUCAUUGGACCGUCAAAUCUGAUUCGAGGAUCAGUUCUGGCAUUAACUGGUUCCAACUCUAGGAUUCAAAUUUUUUUGUAUCAGUAUGGUUUUCUCAUUGUGGAGAAUUAGGAGAAAUUCUUGAGCUAUAAGUGUCAUGACAUCUCUCAUUUGGCCUUUCAAACAUAUGUCUUGAACAAAAGCCUUUAAGAAGAUUUCUCUCCCCAAUUUUCGUGUUUUUUUUCUAUCCCUUAUUUUUUUCAUUUUUGCCCUUGAAUAAAUAUUUUGGAACAUGUUUUUCGAAUUUCUUUCCUUGAGAAAAUUUUUUGGAAUGUGUUUUCCGAUUCUUUUUCAAAUUUGAACUAGAAAAACUUUGGAAAUAUUCGAAAAAUAUGUUUUGAAGUUAUUAUUAUACAAGGGCAAAAAUGGAAAAAUGGUGGGGUGAAAAGAAACUCGGGCGUGGGAAGAGAAAAAUUUAGUCUUUUAAUUUCCAAUCAAGCUUGCUGUAUGACAACCAUAUUCAUGUAAUCUCUUCUCUUUGGGUCAGUUAGUUGUAAAAGGUUUGUAAAGGUAUAUGUAUGGAUAACAUCUCUAUCGCAUUGAAUAUGCGAAUGAUAAGUGUGAAAAAUUGGCGAUUUUAGAUAUUUUUCUGGGUACUUAUUAACUUUUUUUCACAAUUUGAAGUAAAAAUUAACUUAUUGUCUUGAAAAAAAAAGAAGAAAGACAACUUAUUGUAAAAAUUAGUUUUUAUUAGUAAAAUAACAAUUUUAGCUACUUCUUUUUCUCCAUCAUUUUUGUAGUGUUUUUGAGGUAAAUGAAUUUAUGGACUUAAAAGAAUUCACAUUCUGAGUAUUCUCGCUAAACGAGCAUAGCGAGGUCAAAACGAACCAAGUCAGAAACGAUUCAAGUUUCAGGGUGCUAAGUGAACCACCAAUGAACCAAGUUAGAAUGUUUGGAUUAUUGAAAUCAAGGUGAUUUGUUAGGCGAGCUCUAGCGAGGUCAAAAUAAAAAGUUCCAAAGAAUACUAGGGAAGAUGCAUUAGCAGAUUCGUCACUAAGCAAAUCUAGGUAAUUCAAAGGAUUGAUGGAUGAUGUGAUAUUUCUGUCCACCUAAAGAAAUAUCCAUAUUCUCCUAAUCGAAUAUUCAAUUUUUGACUUUAUAUAAAUAUAUGCUUAUAUUUACUUUUUCAUUAUCAAUCAAUCUUGUAACAUAAAACUCAGUUUGAGAGAGAAAAACAAAAGUGGAAGAUAAUUAAUCUUGUUUCAUAAGGAAUAGAUGCAAUUCUGCUCCAUCCUUUAAUCUCUUCUUCUCUUCUCUGCAUAAGUUACUACGAGUAUAUGUAACUAAAUUCUCCUCUAUAUUAUGAUAAGUUUAACUAACUAAGAUUUUGAUGUAAUAAAAUGGUUAAAAUGUAGUGUAGAUGCAGCAUUCUUUGUCGACUCGGGAAGGACAACGAUCGGUGCUUGUUUCCGUAAUAGUUCCGAUGAGUUUACUAUUUGAUUAACACAGUGGAGCUGCGAUUCUAUCAAUAGAGGAGGGUGAAGCAUGUACAUUAUUGCAAGUCAUGAAUGAAGCUAAAUAUAGAGGCUUUGAACGAGUCCAAUUUGAGACUGAUUCUCAAGUGUUGAUUGAAGCAAUUCGUACUAAGAGGAGAGACAGUUCAAAGUUUCUUUCAAUUGUUAAUCAUAUUAUUCUUGUUAUGUUAUCUUGUACGAACUUUGAAGUUAAAGUUAUUAGAAGACAACUGAUUUAUAUAGAAUUUUUGAUAAUUAAUGAAAUGAAGUUUGUUUUGUUAAAAAUAAAAAUUGAUGUGAAUUAUCGAUCGGGCUGAUUAUAUAAAAAUAAUCUAUAUAUUUUUUUUUGGUACAAUAUAUGAUCUAUAUUUAAUACUCUAGUUUAUAUGUUUAUGAUGUAUAUUUUCCUUUCGUUUUUUUUUUUGGUUAUUUGAUGUAUAAAAUUUUGUUAAAAAAAAACAAAAAGUGUAAAAAAAAACAAAAAGUUAUAAAAAAAAAUAUAAUAAAACAUUUUAUAAAUCUUCAUUUUUUUUAUUUGACAAAUUUAUAAAUCUUCAUUUCAAAAUUCCUAAAACUUGAAACACCGGCAUCAAAUUUCCCUCUACUCAACAACUUUUGCCAAACAUCAAAACACAAGACAUCAACAAACAGAAUCAGAUCAGAGACUGUGAAGUGAAUAACUGCAUCUUCAGCUUGACUCAGAUCCAACCAUAAUCAACUCGAACGAGUCACCGAGUUAAAAUCAACUCGUCCAAUGCCAUCACCGUAAUCGAUAAUGCAAACCGCAUCUUCUUCAUCGGCAUCGCCGGAAGCGAUUCUCGAAUGGCUUCACAAGGAAAUGGGAUACCGACCACUCGGUCAGUACGCCGCCGCCGGGAAGUCACAUUCGCCGUCAGUUGAAUCGAUCCGGAAGGUUUGUCGUGGGAACAUGAUUCCGGUUUGGAAUUUUCUCGUCACGCGUGCUAAGUCUGAGAAGACGGUGAGGAAUGUUCGAAGGAAUAUUACUGUUCAUGGUGAUGGAGAUGGUGGUGUGGGGAGGAAGAAGGAGAAGAUGAUGUCUGGGGAGGGGUCUGGUUCGGUGGAGACGAGAGAGGCCGCGUUGAUGGAGAGGGAUUUGGCGGCGAAGGAGGUGGAGAGGUUGAGGAAUGUUGUGAGGAGACAGAGGAAGGAUUUGAAGGCGAGGAUGCUCGAGGUUUCGAGAGAGGAGGCGGAGAGGAAGAGGAUGCUUGAUGAACGAGCAAAUUACAGGUUUUUGUUCCUAAUUUUGACCUAAUUUUUGAAGUUCUGUAAUUUGAUGAUUAUUAUUUGAUUUGGAUCCUAAUGAAGGUUUAGUGAAAAUUCAUUACUAUAGUGUAGUAUAAUCACUAGCUCAAAUUGUGAUAAUUAAAAUGCAUUUAUAUGGUAAUUUCAAUUUCAAAUGUUUCCCCAGUAGGGUUUGUAUUUACACUUUACUAGCACUUGAUUGAAGAAUUUUCCCUGUUCUUUUGCAUUAGGUUAAAAGUUGAUUAACACACACUUUACUAGUAACAAUUUAAGAAAAUAAAAGUGACCGAGGGUAGCCACAUGUGUCAUGAUCGUGUCGGUUGUGGAAACUGAUCAUGACUUCAAGCUGAAAUGUUGGCGCUAUAUAGUGAUUAGUGAAUAAGAGAUGCCAACUUUGUUGAGGACAAAAAGAACGCUUCUUUCUGCUUAAUUUGGUUGUAGAAAUUAGAAAUGGAUUUGUUUCAAUGUUGCAAAUGUUAUUAUCACCUUGAGUGUUGACAUAGGCAUAUUGCGUUGUUGCUUGUUAGUAUAAUAAUAAUAAUAAUAAUAAUAAUAAUAAUAAUAAUAAUAAUAAUAAUCUGCUUAUGAGAUUAAAUAUCAUUGUUGAUGAGAAAGUAUGUGUGCUUUUGUAUCGAUAUCAAUGAUAUGUUUGAAAGAGAGUGGAGAAAAUAAUGAACUUGUGAUGAUUCUGGCAUUGAAUGGUUCAGUACUUAAAGUGUAUGAGUUCUUUACCAUUCUGCAGGCAUAAGCAAGUGAUGUUGGAGGCCUAUGAUCGGCAAUGUGAUGAAGCUUCAAGAAUAUUUGCUGAAUAUCACAAACGUCUCUGUUACUAUAUAAAUCAAGCGAGGGAUGCUCAAAGAUCAGGUGUGGAUUCUUCCGUUGAAAUGGUAAAUAGUUUUAGUGCCAAAAAUGAGAAGGAAUCUGUUUAUUCUACUGUCAAGAGCAGUAAAUCUGCAGAUGAUGUCAUUGUCAUAGAAACCACAAGGGAAAAGAAUAUCAGACAGGCUUGUGAAGCUCUUGUAGCUUACAUGGUUGAAAAAAUACAGAGUUCUUUUCCUGCUUAUGAAGGAAACGGUGUUCUUUCAAAUCCUCAGGCAGAAGCAGCGAAGUUGGGGUUUGAUUUUGAUGGGCAAAUUCCGGAUGAGGUUAGAACAGUUAUUGUGAAUUGCCUAAAGAGUCCUCCUCUAUUGCUUCAGGCAAUUACCGCAUACACUUCUCACUUGAAAAGUCUAAUUUCCAGAGAAAUUGAGAAAAUUGAUGUUAGAGCUGAUGCAGAGAUCUUGAGGUAUCAAAAUAUUUGUAGUUUCUUUUUCAUGUUCUGUUGAUGCUCUUGUUAGUUCCUUUGUGACCAUAAUUGUGAAGGUUAAACCUUUUGUGGAAAUCAUCAACUAUUGUUACUAUAAUAACUUAACUUUCCCAAAAAACGUAUAUGUAAAAAAUGCUAAAGUUCAUCUGACCUUUCUUAAAUGUACUAAAUGAAAAAUGUCAUUUGUGCCCUUGUUUAUUAUGGAGUGAGAAUAUUAAAAGUAAGUCGGUGGAAUUAUGAGUAACUAUGAGUAAUAAAUAUAGGGGCAUUCAUGGAAUAAAUUUUAAAUUAUAGGAGUAUUAAAUGAAAUCGAGUAUUUUAUUUUCAAGAUGUUUCCUUGGUCUUAAAUCUUAAUAAAUUAGAGUUUUGUUUCCUAUAAAAAGGACCGGAGGGACGGGAGUAGUAUGUAUGUAGAUGUAUGUAGUUUAUGAGUUCUCUGUUUGAUUAAUCUUAUUAGCAAGUAUAUUAAUCAUGCUAUUCAUAUAAUUCAAACAUCCAUAUUUCUAUCAGGUACAAAUAUGAAAAUAACAUAGUUAUGGAUGUUUCGUCUUCUGAUGGGAGCUCUCCUCUACAGUAUCCACUUUAUGGAAAUGGAAAACUUGGGGUUGAUGUGCCUCCAGGAGGAAGUCAAAAUCAGCUCCUUGAAAGACAGGUCUUCAUUCAUCCUUAGACUGCAUAGUUUUAUUGUCUUGAGUUGAGUUAUUGAACCAACACUGUGUCUCUGUUCACAGAAAGCUCAUGUUCAGCAGUUUUUGGCUACUGAAGAUGCACUAAACAAUGCUGCAGAAGCAAGGGACUUGAGUGAAAAACUUAUGAAACGUCUGCAUGGAGGCACUGAUGUUACUUCUCGUUCAAUUGGGAUUGGAAAUGCAUCUCAGAAUGUUGGAAGUCUUAGGCAACUUCAGGUAUUAAUCACUCAAAACUUACGGUGAAUUAGGUUCUUUUUAAGUGAGCUCUAUAUUUUCAUGAAUCUCUAGUCACCUUUUGUGCGUGAUUCUAUCACUACAAAACAUCUAAUAAGUAACUAAUAGUUAAAUUACCAGCAUUUAUGUUGAGAAGAAGUGCUUGUUGUCUGGUGAUUUAGAGAAACACUGAGUCUGUAAGUUUGGAUGAUUAUUGUUUUGGUGGGAUAGCUUAUAUAAAGACUUAAUGUUUAAAUCGAUACACAUUUUGUUUCUGAUCUUGAGUGGUAAUAUUUCAUUGGUAAGUACCAAUGACCCUGCAAUGCAAUUCAGCAACAAUACGGUGGAAAUCAAAGAAGAAACAGAAUUAAUUGAUGGAAAUCACGUGUAUUAUUGAUCAUUGAAGGAUAAUAGUUGUAGAGGAUCUCUCUAACUACUCCUAGAGCCAAGCUCCAUCCAACACACAGAAAUAUCUAUUCUCUGGCCUAACAGAAUCUAAUUCCAUCAUACCCUCUCUCCCCUAAGAAUUUUCCUUAUAUACCACCCAAGAGAAUAUUCCUUCACAUGGCCACCUCAUUAGUCUUCUUAGCCACCCAAGAGAAUAUCCCUCCAUAUUUUGGGUUUGUCCAUAGCGCCACUUUAAUUAAUUGCAUCCCCAUCAAUUUUUUUCUAUAGAUUCAGACACUGUCUUAAACGGCUUUGGACAUGUAUAUUAUUUCGCUGUAAAUGUUUAACAUGUUUGUUGUACAUGAUUGAUUUGCUUAUAUUAUAUGACAUUAUGGCAAAGAGAUAGAUACAAGUAUACAAAAUUUGUUUUUUUGGCAAAUUAUCCUUGGUUCAUCUCUUCACAUCUAAUUAUUCUGUGGUAGCAUUUCAAUCUGUCUUGAUUGAUAAUUUGUUGUUAAUAACAUAAGUUUUUUUUUUUUUUGAGGUAGUUCAUGUGGUGAGAUUCUGAGUAAAAUUGAAUAUUCCAANNNNNNNNNNNNNNNNNNNNNNNNNNNNNNNNNNNNNNNNNNNNNNNNNNNNNNNNNNNNNNNNNNNNNNNNNNNNNNNNNNNNNNNNNNNNNNNNNNNNNNNNNNNNNNNNNNNNNNNNNNNNNNNNNNNNNNNNNNNNNNNNNNNNNNNNNNNNNNNNNNNNNNNNNNNNNNNNNNNNNNNNNNNNNNNNNNNNNNNNNNNNNNNNNNNNNNNNNNNNNNNNNNNNNNNNNNNNNNNNNNNNNNNNNNNNNNNNNNNNNNNNNNNNNNNNNNNNNNNNNNNNNNNNNNNNNNNNNNNNNNNNNNNNNNNNNNNNNNNNNNNNNNNNNNNNNNNNNNNNNNNNNNNNNNNNNNNNNNNNNNNNNNNNNNNNNNNNNNNNNNNNNNNNNNNNNNNNNNNNNNNNNNNNNNNNNNNNNNNNNNNNNNNNNNNNNNNNNNNNNNNNNNNNNNNNNNNNNNNNNNNNNNNNNNNNNNAUACAAGUAUACAAAAUUUGUUUUUUUGGCAAAUUUUCUUUGGUUCAUCUCUUCACAUCUAAUUAUUCUGUGGUAGCAUGUCAAUCUGUCUUGAUUGAUAAUUUGUUGUUAAUAACGGAAGUUUUUUUUUUUNNNNNNNNNNNNNNNNNNNNNNNNNNNNNNNNNNNNNNNNNNNNNNNNNNNNNAGAUUCUGAGUAAAAUAGAAUAUUCCAAGUAAAAUUGAAUUACAACACUAAGGGAUUUGUGAACACUUGUGCAUCUAAGAUUUGUUAUGUCUAAACUAUCACAUCUAAUCUAAACAUGUUUAAUUAUGAAAAUAUUUUUUUUUAUAUCAACCAUUUAAAGUAGGAUCAAUAAAUAACUUUAUCUUCUUCUAUCUUGGAGGAAUAUUUGCUUUUAAUAAGUUCAAUUAAAUUAUUUAGGGUCCCUUUCUUAUUUUCCAACUUUGUUCAGGAAUUAAGAUUUUUUGUUAUGAGUUGGAAGAAAAAAGGAAAGAGCCUUUUCAUCCCAUUCAGUUCUAUCCAAUUAUUAAUGCUAGAAAUAUUUUUCACAUCAAAAUUUGUGGUGGGAAUUUACAACUUAUACUUCUUACAUGUGUUCAGCUAGAUGUUUGGGCAAAGGAAAGAGAAGUUGCUGGUUUAAAAGCAAGUUUAAAUACCUUGAUGUCUGAAAUACAGCGCUUGAAUACGUUAUGUGCCGAAAGGAAAGAAGCCGAAGAUUCUCUUAAGAAAAAGUGGAAAAAGAUUGAGGAGUUUGAUGCUCGUAGAUCAGAACUUGAAUCUAUAUACACGGCACUUCUUAAAGCAAAUACGGUAAGGUUCCAUUAUUUCACUAUUUUCUUUAUUUGUGGAAUGUGACUGUUGUACUUACUGCUUAUCCUUGGGUAUUAAUGGUACACUGUUUCAAUUUAAUGAUUUUACUGGUUUUAACUUGGCCAAUCAUUAAAAAAAAAACUUAAAUUAGCCAUUAAUAGAUUUGGCUGUGUCACCAUGUUGAUGCAUUUUGUUAAUUGAUAUAUGUAUUGCUACCGAGACAAUGGAUUUUUGUUGGAAGUUUAUAUAUAUUGUUUCUACCGGGCUUUAAUGGUAUUCAUUUCCCUUAUGUUGUGCAAGUUAUUCCAACAAAGCAUUUUUCUUGUAUUUCUUUUCCAAUUUCUUUUUUUAAUAAACAGCUCUUUGUUUUUUGUUUUGUUUUCUUUUAUGUUGCAGGAUGCUGCUUCAUUUUGGAGUCAGCAACCAUCAACUGCAAAGGAGUAUGCUUUAAGCACUAUAAUUCCAGCAUGUUCUGCUGUUGUUGAGACUUCAAAUAGCGCAAAGGAUCUUAUUGAGAAAGAAGUGUCUGCCUUUUAUCGGAGUCCAGAUAAUAGCCUCUACAUGCUUCCUUCUUCACCACAGGUUUAUGAUGCUUUAGCAGACACUUGUUGACUGUUACAAAUGUUAGAACUAGGUUUUCGGGGUUUAAGAUAUGAGCUUGCUUACUUUUGGAUCUUCUAUUUCUACUAUGUGGUAGUCAAACUUUACUCGGAUUAGAUCUCUAGUGUUUAAUAAUCAUCGUAUUGAUAGAAGAAAUUUAUUCAGAUGAAACUAAAAGAAGGAAAGUACAAUUGAGGGAUGGAAAUGAUAUUCUUCGAAUCAGAAAGCUCGAGAUACAACGAGGAAAAUUAAUUGUUGAAAAAAAUAAUCAAGAAUGCAGGAAGGCAGCUUAAUUUUUGCAAAUAAGAAAUGAAAACUCAAUUGAAAAAGAAUUAGAAGUUAUAGAUAUAAUCCUAUCCUAGGGAAAGAGACUUUGUGAAGCUCGGCAAGUUUGAGCUGCUAAUGGAAUUAUAGAGGUUUUUCAGGGAAUAAUCCUGAUUAGUUUUUUUAGGUUUAAUUUGGAAUUUGCAUUUUGAUUUUGUUGUGUCUGAUGGGAGAUGGUGAAAAGGGUGAUUGUACUCCUAUGAAUUUGCUUCAGCCUUUGGUCAUUGGCACCGCUGUCAGCUUUCUCUAUGGCGGCCUGAAAUUGUUAUUGCUGCGAAGUUUGUGAGAGUUGGGAUGUUGCAUGAGAGAGAAGCAGUCGAGUGAGAGAGUUGGUAGGGAGAGGCAAAUAGGUGUAUUUUUUACUUUGGAGUUGUGUCCAUAGUUUAGUGAGUAACAAAUUUUUAGAUCAUUCUCAUACCUUAUCCCUUGUUUGGCUGCCUCAUGAUCAAUUUUGAAAUCAACUAAAAAAGAAUUUUCUCUGUGAUAUCUAGUUAGUCCCACCUUUUUUAGCAAGUCAAAUGAAUCCUUUUUUUUUUGUUGAGAAAGGUCGACUUUAAAUGGCUUAAGAGACAUUUGCUUUGAAUAUUUUAAUAAUCUAUCUCAUGUAUUAAGAUGUGCUUCAACUUAAAUUUACCAUAAAUUCUGGUACAGGCUUUGCUUGAGGCCAUCGGGUCCGGUGGAUCAUCUGGACAGGAAGCAGUUGCAAAUGCAGAAAUAAGUGCAGCUAUUUUGACAGCAAAAGCUGGUGCUCGGGAUCCAUCGGCAAUUCCAUCAAUAUGUCGUGUUUCAGCUGCACUUCAGUAUGCUGCUGGUGAGUAUAUUAUCAUUUUGCAUGCACUGAAAGGCUAUGAAUUUUUUUUUCAUCCAAGCGUGAAGUAUCUAUUAAUUUUUUUUUCUUAGAAUUAAAAAUAUUAUUGGAUACUUUUUGGGUAUGUACUAUUAGGAAUUAUCAAACAUGUAUCAGUAUCAGUGUUGGACAUCAAUACUUUGCCAUUUUGAAUUAUUUGGGCUUCAUAGACAAUAUUCCGUUAUUCCGAAUGAUGUAGUGAAAUAGUGUAGAGCUUCCACAAAAAUUUAAAAAAAAUUAGAAAUGGUAUAUGUUUUCACAUCUAUAGAUCUAUAUUACUAUUGCAUAUUGAUUUCAUUAACUUGCAAAUGUGGUUUCAUAGGUAUUUAAUAUUGGUGGUACGCAUAUAUGUGGGCUGAAAUCUUUUAUAAUGUAGUAAAUGAUUUUUUUAAUGGGCAGGCUUGGAGGGUUCUGAUGCUGGUCUAGCAUCCAUACUGGAGUCCCUGGAGUUUUGUUUGAAACUCCGUGGUUCAGAAGCUAGUGUGUUGGAAGAUUUAUUAAAGGCUAUUAAUCUUGUCCAUAUUAGACGAGAUCUUGUUCAAAGUGGUCAUGCCUUGUUGAAUCAUGCCUACUGUGUUCAACAGGAAUAUGAAAGGUAGAUAUGCAUACAAACACCCCCAGAAUCCAACCCGCAUUCAUGGUUAAAUUCGUUUAUGCAUUGUCAAGGAGAAAAAGAUGUAGUUAAUAUAUCUUUCCAUCUCGUUCAGAUUCAUACCCUAAUAAUUUGUUGGAAGCUUUUUCUUCAUUUUUGACAUUUUAUAUAAUGAUGCAGGACGACCAAUUUUUCUUUAAAUUUGGCUGCAGAACAAGAAAAAGCUGUCACAGAAAAAUGGUUGCCUGAACUCAAGACUGGUGUUUUGAAUGCUCAACAGAGUUUGGAAGAUUGCAAAUAUGUCAGGGGAUUGGUGAGUUACUCCUGUUAUUAUUAUUAUUAGAUAUUAGAUUGAUAUCCCUUAAAAUAAGGGUGAACAAAUCACAAAUGAAUGACUUGUUUAUAUAUUUUUCACGUUAAGCUCACUUUUGAAACUUAGAUCACCACUUUCUGUGUGUGUUUAGCUCAGAUGCAAGUUCUGCUAAGCAUGUAUUAUUUACAUAUAUGGCUAUACAAAAGACUUCAUCAUAGUUGUUCAAUUUGAUAUGUAAUCUCUUGGUGGAUUCUUAUGUCUUUGCUUAUAACUAAUAAGAUUUCCAUUUCUAUUCUUAAAUUGUAACUUCUCCAGCUUGAUGAGUGGUGGGAGCAACCAGCAUCGACCGUUGUUGACUGGGUGACGGUGGAUGGGCAAAAUGUUGCUGCAUGGCAUAAUCAUGUGAAGCAGCUUCUUGCAUUUUAUGAUAAGGAGCUACUAUUGUGAAUAUAAUUUUAAAGCACCUGCAGUAAAUUAAAUUUUUGGAAGUCCCAGAUUGUCUAAACAUUUCCCACUUUGCGAUCAACAUUGAAGACUAUAUUCUUUAGCCUCAAGGUGUUGUGCAUUAGCCAACCGAUACUUCAAGCAGUUACUUUGGGAUAGAAUAUACAGCAGCUGUCUUUAUCGAUAGACCAAGUUGUCGAGAACAAGAAAGAAACCUCUCCUCUACCUGUUGAUUUUUUUAUAGAUUCGCUCUCUCUUCAAAAGUGUGGUGUGUAUUAUAAGCCAUUUUAGGUUUUAGGUGGUGAGUUGGAAUGCUCUUUCUAAUUGCAUGUGAUUAAUGUUUUGAUUCCUCUGAUUGUAGAGCUCUGUAAAUUGAUUUAUUGUGUACCAGAUAGUUGAAGUUGAAGACAUAUUCAACUUCAUUUACUGCAUUCUGGUUUGAACUGUUGUACACAAUUAGUACCAUUUAGAAAACAUGAAGAAGUCUAGUUACAAGUAGACUUAUAUGGUACUUGUUAUAUGAUUUACGUGGUAUAUGAAAUUUCUAGUUUUACAAACAAAACAUUUCUUUGUAGAAGAGUUCUGAGUUCAUAAUUUAUAUUGCUAAUCAAAUUUAGCAAUCUUGUUGAAUUCUCUAUUUUCUCCAUGAUGUAAAGAGGUCAAAUAUCAAGUUUAAUGUAGGACCUUUGAAGCUGUUUUAGUCGAGAUAACAAAGAAAAUGAAAAACACUAAAUUUGGGCAUUAAUUAUUGUUAAUGAAAUGGUUGUAUCAUUCAUAUGUGAUAUAACCGCAAAUGGUUGUAUCAUUCAUAUGAAGACCGUGAGCCAAGUUGACAUCAUAUCAUAGUUCUUCAAGAAUCACAUUACUGCUACAAGGAAUGUAGUUGGUUGGUGCAAACUUGAUAACUUCAAAGGCUAUUAAUUCCUUUUUAUAAGUGGUGAAAUAAAUAUAAGGAAUUUAUUGAGAAAGAGACAAAUUAGAAACUUCAACAACUAUGUUCAGAGUAUGAGAUCAGUGUAACCAACAAAAAAAAAGAGACUGAGAUCAGUGUAUAGCAAAUACUUCUUUGACAAUACAGAUGAAUUGUGUGACAGUAUCCCAUAUUACUUUCCACAUCCAUGUAUAAAUAAAUGAGAACUUCUACGAUACAGUAACACUAACAAAUCAAAGGAUUUUGGUACAAUUGCUUUCUUAAUGAUCAUUUGUGUCAAUCAAAUAGCUAUAUUUCAAUGUUAUUACGCUGAGACUUGAGUACUUAGUCUCUUAAACUCAUCCUUGAAAUCCAUAUAAACAGAAAAAAGAUUUAGAAAACCAAAUAACUAAAGACACAAAUUCUAUAUUAAUCUUAUUAUUAUAGGUAUUUUUGUUUUUGAAAAGACAAAACUAUAUUAAUAAAAUAAGCCUAACACAAAGCACAAGUUACUUUGGUUAAGCCAAAUUUACAACAGGGUUCUGCAUUCACAACACCACCAAAACUACAUCAUCAUUCAUCAAGUAGCUAUGAUAGCAACUGUCACUCAACCAGCAUCACCUGAUAAAUCAAAAUGAAAAAGUACACAUUCUAAAGCCCAGCAGCCGCGGCGUUGGCAGUAAAUGAUUAUUAUUCACUUCAUACUCAUAGUCCGAAUUCGGAUUUACAUAUUGCCAACCAGAAAACCUUUCAUGUCUCAAACUUCUUAACCAAUCCUCAACCUUUAGAACUACCCAAUUUUUCAACCGAUUCUAACGCACUGCUCUGAAUAUGCAAACAGCACAUGUACGAUAAGUCCAUAUCUUAUUACCGGAGCAAUUUGUGGGCACUUACCACUCAAUAGACCUAUCUACCCAAAGAUAGAAACUAAGUUGCAGGGUAUGUAAACUAUAAAGGUUCGAUUGAAUCUGUGAAACUCAAAUUAUUAUCGCUGCAAUUUCACAGCAACAAUAUGCACGACCUUUGCACAGUAGCAACAGCUAACAAGAUCAGACCAUACCUUGCAGAUGAAAAAAAGUUCCUAUACUACAUAUUCCAAUUGCAUAGACAGUUAGAAUCUUAUCCCCCAUCAAGAAGGAUCACCUUUUUCGCUCAAAAUUGUUGCCUUUUGGUAUCUCAAUUUAUCAAUUUCCUUUACUAGAUAAUCUAAAGUCGUGUCCGUAACAUGGUUAGGGGUGCAUCCAGCAUCGAGCAUCAUUUUUAAGAAUUUAUAAGCAUCCUUCACUCGGCCAGCCUUGCUAUGAAUUUCAAUCAAAGUAUUAUAAGUGACAAUAUCAGGAUUUAUCCCGCUGCUUGUCAUUUGCUCAAAGAACUUGUUCACCUCAUCGAUUCGGCCUGUCUUCCCUAAAGCAUUAAUGAGAGUGUUAUACAUAACUAUGUCGAGAUAACCACCCUGCUUCAGUAGGCCAUCAAGUACAGCACUGGCUAGAUCUGCUCUUCCCAUCUUUCCUAAACCUUGAAUUAUCAUAUUAUACGUCGCUAUAUCGGUGGGGCAGAGCUUUUCCCCCAUUUCAGUCAGAAUAGCCCAAGCCUCAUUGAAAUAGCCCUUUUUGACNNNNNNNNNNNNNNNNNNNNNNNNNNNNNNNNNNNNNNNNACUCCUGCGUCGGUGAAAAUCUCGAACAAUUUGCAAGCCAGACUCAACUUUCCCUUGGCCAAAAAUAUAGACAGAAAAGUAUUCACCAUAUUAACAUCAAAAGAAUCAGGCCCUUUUUGUUGAACUCUCUGUCCACGGUUGGGAGUGAACAGUUGCGAAGCAUUGCCAGUUGACUUUACGAGACGCUUGGCCAAUUUAUCCAUGUGUGGAGAGGAUGACCACUCGUCGAUUUGUUCAGAGGAAGUUUCCACCUCAUCAUCAUCAUCCUGGGAACGAGUUAUGAAACUCAUGAUCUCACUAAAACCACCUUUGGAAGGGAACAUUGGUGAAUAAUCCUUUUCCUUGGAAUGCAAGUUAUUGAUAGAAGCUUCCAUUCCAGCCUUCCACUUGAGAACACUGGGCAACAGAUCCCCUUCCCUGACAUGCUUGAUGAGCCUAUCAGUCCAAUCCCAACGACCGUGUUUAUGAAUGCCAAUCAAGAGAGAUGUUAUCGUAACAAGGUCAACAGAAAAGCCUCUAGCUUCCAUUUCCUCAACCAACUCCAAAGCCUCCUCCAAAUGACCCUCUUUACAAAGUUGCAGCACAACAAUGCUGUAACUAAUCCCAUCGACAAACUGACCUUUCUUUUUAAGAUCACAAAAAAGUGUAUAACCAGCUUCUGAUCUCCCAUUCUUAAUAAGUCCAUGAAUUAGAAUAUUAUAAGUCGAACAAGAAGCUUUCACCCCUUCUUGAGCCAUUUUCUCAAACAUCUGGCAUGCUUCAUUAACCUUUGCAGCCUUAAAAAGUCCAUCCAAAACACAAUUAUACACAAGCACACCCGGACGAAACCCAUUAUCCUUCAUCUCAUUAAAAAUCCUCAACGCCUCAUCCAUUCUACAAGUCUUACAACAACCCCGAACAAGGAUCGUAUAAGUAAACUCAUCCGGUUCAUAACCACACCCUUUAAGCUCAUCCCACACAAUAAGUGCAUCAUUAAUCUUCCCAACCUUACAAAGAACCGAUAAAACCGAAUUAUAAGUACACAUAUCAGGUCCAAACAAAUUCUUAUCCUCCUUCAUCUCAUUAAAAAGCUUCAUUGAAGUAACCAAAUCACCCCAAGAACCAAACGCAUGAAUACAAAUAUUAUAACCCCAUGAAUCAAAAUUAAAACUUUUCCAUUCCCUCAAAGUAUUAAACACAUUUUGAAACUCUUCCUUCAUCUGGGCUUUCCUAAGAACCGAAAGUAAGUAAUUCGAAGAACCAACAAUAACCGAAUUAAAUUCCGAACAAUCAUCAUCUAAUUUCAUAAGAUUAUUGAAAAUUGAUAAAGCAAGAGAAAUUUGAUUAUUUUUUAUAGAAGCAAUUAAAAGAGAAUUAUAAAUAAAAGGUGUAGUACCAAUAGGUUGAAGAUUUUGUGUUUGAAUAUAAUCCAAAAUAUCAACAACAAAACGGAAAUUCUUAUUCCCAUUAUUAUGAGAGAAUUUGAUAAGAAAGUUAAGAACUUUAUUGAAUGAAUUCGAAUCGAAAACGAUACCGUUUUGUUUCAUGGAAUGAAGCAAUUGAGGGAGAUAAUGAUGAACAAGUGAAAGAGGGGUUUUGGGGUUACAAAGAUUGUUGAAAAUUAGAGAGUAAGUGGUUGAUGAAUGAUGAAUGUUGUUAUUGGAAUUGAAGAAAUUGAGUUUGUGGGAAAUGUGGAGUGAUGGAUUUGAAAGGAUUUUGUGGAUUAGGGUUUGUGUGAUUGGGAUUUGAUUUAGGGUUUGUGGUGGUGUUGGUGUUGUUUGUGAGGUUUUGGAGAGGGUUUUGGUUAUGGAUGCUACUGUGAGUAAUUCUGAUACUUGUUUCCAUGUUGAAUUUGAUGAUGUUUUCAUUGGUUUUGUGUUGGUUUGUAACUAUGAUGUUUUGAAAUUGUUGUUUUACAUUAUCAUGGGAUUGAAGAUGGCAUUGUCUUCUUCUCUUUCUUCGUUCUCGUCUCCUGGUUUAAACACUGUGUUUGCUAACUCAUCAGCUGAACCCUUUGUAAAUUUCUUGACAAGAAUUAAUUAUUUUAGAUGGAUGAAAUAACUAAUAGCUUAUAGCAAAUAAUUUGAAAGGUAAUGUGUGUGUUUGGUUUGGCGUUAGCAAAAAAUUGAGUUUGGUAGAAUUGAGUUUGAUAGAAUUAAUUUUAGUUAAAAGUGAGUUGAGUUGAAUUGAUUUAUGUUUGGAUACAUUGAUGUAAAAAUGAUUCUUAUCGAUUAAUGUUGUUUGGAUAUUUUGGUUCAAAAUUGCUUUUGGAAGGUAUAAUUACUGAAAUGGGCAUUAUUACUUUAUGUUAUUAGAUUUUUUUUUUUAUUUUUUUACACACUUCACGUUAUUAGUAUUGUAUCUAAAUAUUGGGUCUUUACAUUUUUUAUGACUCAACAUUGAGAAUGGAGUUUUAUCCUUAUUAUGAGUCCAUUAGCUUUCUUUUACCAAAAAAAUAAAAUAAAAAAUAAAUAGUUUCUUCUUCAUUGUUAAAAGGAAAAAACAACUUUCCUCUUCUAACAGUUGCAUUUGCAUCGCACCGCAUGCCAAAUUGCCAACUAGCAAGAGACGAAAUCAAAUCUCUAUUAUCCAAUUACACAGAUUUUUUUUCUUCUCUUCUUAACUUCCUUCUGUUCCACCUUUCACAGUUAGAGUUGCUUUGGAAAGGUUAAAACUGGGAAAUUGAAGUUCCUGAACGCUGGAAUCAAAAGAAGUUCCUGGAAGCUAAAGAAAAACAGAGAAGAUACAAGAUAUAGAAGAAAAAAACUGAGAUAGAUCUAAGGAAAAGAGAGAUGGAGCCAUAGAGGUGAGGGCAAAGAAGGAAGAAAGGGAUUAAUUUUUUAGCUGACAACCAAAAGUAAACAAGAAUUGAUUUUGGGUUGACGCAGAAGCUAGGAUUUGGAGCUUUUCCUAGAAUUGAGUUUGGAGCACAAAAUCGAUUUACAAGGAAAAAGCCAAACAUAUUAAAAAAGUGGGAAAUCACGUUUUACAGCCGGAAACGCACGUCUGUUAGUUUGUAACGCGUAACCAAACAGACACAAUGUAGUUUUUAGCUUAUAGCAAAGGUAGCUUAUUGAAUUUAUAAUAUUUUACUAAAAUUAAAGGUUAAAUUGUUGGAAAUCGUGUGACUACAAUUGAGAGGGGCUGAAAUUACUUGAUGAUAGAACUGACCUCGAACCAGAUUAAAUUAGUGGUGAAAGCAAAAAAAAAAUAUUAAUGGUUAAGCUAAAUAAGUAUGAAAUUACAUAAAAAAAAUAUGAAUAAUUAAUAUUUAAUUUUUUAAAGUAAGAUGAGAUGAUAAAAUUUGAAAAAUAAAUUAUAAACUAAUAAAAUGAGUUAUAUUUAGUAAUAAGAAAUAUAUUUAAAAAAAAAUGAAAUUUGUUGUAUAUACAUUUUGAAACUAUGCAAGGUUUUUCUCGAGCUAAUUCAUACGAUAUCUAAUUAGAUAGAAUGUGUGUCAUAUAUGUAUAACUUAUCAAUUACUUAAGUCAUAAGAGAAUAUUGCAACUGCAUUUGGGGGAACUGAAAUCACUCAAUGCCAGCACUUGCUCCGAACUUUGAACUACUAGGAUCCCUUUCCCCUAGGAACCAGAGGGUGAAAACUAAAAAAAAAAUAAAAAAUCAUAAGAGAAUAUCUAACCAUCUUUGUCAACCGAAAUUAAUUCUCUAAAGUUAAGGAUUUGGUGUUUUAAUUGAUUUUUUCCGAUAUAACAUAAAUUAUUUUACAGUUAACAGAUAUAAAAGUUAAUUCCUAUAGUAAUACAAAAUGACUUAAUAAUGUGUAUUUUAUGGUUCUAAGAUAAUGAGAAAUUAUUAUUAAUAACGAUGGAACUGAUGUCCAUUUUACAAAGUUUCUAUAUAAGAUUUAACCCGAUCAUAUGAUGUUACAAAGUCAAACACACUUUAUAGACCGAUACUUAUUUAGUUAAGGAGAACCAUUCUUUGAAGAAGCAGGAGGUGUCCCUGGUGAAGGGAACAAUGGAGGAAAAGGAAAGCCCAAACUUGGUGGUGUAGAAGGACUUAAGCCAGGUACUGAUGGAAAAGGAAACAAUGGUGGUGAUGAUCUUGAUGGAGGAGGUUGAAAUGGAUUAGGUAUUGUUGGUGUUGUUGGUGGUUGAAAUGGAUUAGGAGGAACAAGUGGUGUACUUGGUGGUUGUAAUGGAUUAGGGACUAAUGGUGAUGGUUGUAAUGGAUUAUUAGGGACUAAUGGUGGUGGAAAAAAUGGAUUAGGAGGAAUGUUAAAGGAAUCAACAUUAGUUACUUUUUCAUCUAAAGAUUCAACAACAUUUUUUGAAGUUUUAGUUGAUUUAGAUUUGGAUUCAUCAUUAGUGGUUCCACUAGGGACUAGUGGUGACAAAAUUGGUGGCAAUAUUGGUGUAACAAUUUCAGGUAAUAAAGGAAUUGGUGGAAGUAUAGGAGGAAGAAUACCACCAUUAUGUGUGUUUGGAUCUUGAAGUGGUGGUGGAAAUGAUGGAUCAAUUUUUGGAGGCAAUGAAUUUUUUUUCAAUGAAUCAACAAGUUUCUUUGUGUUUUGAAUACUUGGUUUUUGGUUACAUAGAUUUGGUUGUUUAAGUGGUUUGAAUGAGAAAAAACCUGCUGAGAAUAUGUGUAAUCCUUGUUUUCUUGAUUUUAGGUGUAUUGAUGAAGAUGUGGCUGUUGAUGCUAUAGAACAAUAUGGUUCAUUGCUGCUUACUAAUUUCACAACACAUCCUUUGAUUCUCUUUACAUGUUUGCUUAUUGAGAAUGGUAGUUGGAUUCUGAAUUCACCAUGUUCAUUUGUUUUCACUUGUUUCUUGAAUCUUGGUUUUGAAAUUUCAUGUUCAUCUUUGCAUUCUACUUCAACUGAUGCACCUGCAUAGUAUUAUAACAGACAUCAGCUUAAAAUUCAGAUAACAUAACACAGGUGGCAGCUUGUGAAUUACUGACACAGAUACAAACACCAGACAAGUUGCUGACACAUGCAUCAGUGUCGUUUUGGUGUUGGACACUGAUAUAUUCAUUCUGAAGUAUUUGUUCAAAAUAAACUAUAAUGACCAAUUUAGGGACGGAAAGUCAAAUGAACCACUAACAUUAACUACUAGUGGUUUAGUGACUUUUCGCAUAUCAGUCUCUAAAUCAAUCAUAAACUCAUUUAGCGACCGAUUGUUGGAACAUAGAGUAUAAUGUGUGAAUUGAAAAUAAAAACUUAUAAAAGAUAUCAAAGUAUUUCUAUCACUAAAUUAGUCCCUAUAUACUAAAAAUAUUUAGUAGGUAUGUAGAGUUAUAAAAUUGAAUUUCCUUUAAAAAAUACAAAUAAGAAGUUUUUUUUGAACAAGAAUACAAAUAAGAAGUUAAGAAAUGGACCUGAAAUGAUAUGGUUUCCCAUGGAGAAAUCCUGUUGAAAACAUGUGUCACAAUAAACAGUGCCAACCACAACAGCAGAAGUAGGCUUCUUGUGAUGAUGAUGACUAUUAGACUCAGAAAAAGUACCAAAGGUUACAAUCAGAAACAGAAUUACAAGGAACCAAGACAUUCUAAGGUUUGUUUGUUCUCUUAGAAUUAACUCUCUUCUCUAAAGUGUGUUUUAAUAUCUUGUACUAUAUUCAAGUAUAUAUGUUCUUAUGAUCCUUAUAUAUCUUUGAUAAAGACACCCAAGAGACUAAUAUAUAGUUCAACAAGAUGUGUCCUAAUAAGGCUAAUUAUGUCCAUCAUGCAAAAGCAACUCAACUGUAAACUAAAAGCAAAAACAAUAAUUGUAAGUUUGCUUUUCCCAUCACCAAAACAACUACUAAUUUAAAAAGGUAAUUUACCAUUAAUAUAACUUAUGUUUGACACCGUAAGUAGAAUCACGAUGACCUGCCAUAAUUUUUAAAAGUAGAAUUUUUUAACGCUUUGUAAGUCAGAUAAGUCAAAAUCACGAUGACCUACCAUAAUUUUUAAAAAUUUAAUUUUUUAACUUCACAGCGGAUCACCAUAAUUCUAAUAUACUAACUGAAUAUAAACAUAUACCAGUAUGUUUGUUUCUUUGUUGGAAUAUGAAAAUGCAAAAGGGGUGUGUGUAUGGUUGUGAUCCUGUGUUGAUUCACGAGACAGAGAAGAGAAGCCACAUAUUCUGUGAACAUGACACAUGACUAAUGUAUAGGAAGUGUGUCCUUUUUAGAUUCACACUGAGAGCUAGCUAGCACAGAAUGAGAUAAUAUCAAACAUUUUUACAGUUAAGAAAAAUAAUUUAAAUGAAUGAGAUAAUAUCAAACAUUUUAUAAGUAAAAUAAUUUAAAUGAGUGGUACAUUUGAAUGAAAAUGAGCCAAGUCAUAUAUAGGUUAGCAACAUGCAUCUUAUUUUAUUUGGACAAAGAAAAUCAUUUGCCUAACUAAAACAUUAAACUUAAAACCAAUCGUUAGUUGGUUCAGUGGUGAUUGACACUGAACUUGGUAGGGAGAACCGCUGUUCGAUCCCCUGCAACUGCGAUCGGGAGGGGGCUGGACCCACUUGAUGCCAGAACUGACCCCUGAACCAGAUUAAACUGGUGUUGAAAACCAAAAAAGAAAAAAGGCAUUAUACUUAAAUGGUUAAUUAUUUGCCUAAGUCAUAUUUUUUAUAUGGACCAAAAAUAUCAUUUGGCUUCAAUAGACAAGAAGGUAAAUGUUCAAGGGUUUACAAGGAAUUAGCUAGAGCAAAAAGUCAAAGACUUUGCAAAGAAAAAUGAAUGGAAAAGUUUCAAUGAUGUGUUGCCUCUUCUCAUUUAUGGGAUUGUUCUAUUCCCCUUAAAGAGGAUGGGGUGAUCUUGGGUUGAUAAUUUUCAAUCUCGUGGUACUUUGCGAAAACAUGAUGCGGAAGAGAUAAUUUUCAGUUGUGGAAACUUUUCGAAUGUACCUCUCAUAGGAUCCAAAGGUUGUAUCACCUACAACCUGACUUUGACGUUGAGACAACGUUAGUUAUCUCAUGUUAGAGAAGCUCGAAGACAAGUCAUUGGAAAGUUUUGUUUUGCAUAAUAUGGAAGAAAGUGACCCAAUUAUGUUGCGAAGGAUAAGCCGAGCAUAGAAUAGGAUUCAAAAAAUGAGUUGGGACGCCAUAAUUGCAUUGUUAAAACGCCUAUUUUUAAAAAUCAUAAAAAUAUAAAUCUAUUUUAAAAUUUAGUUAUAAUAAGAAUUAUAUUAUAACACGCACGUACACACCCACUAAAUAAAAAAAAUUGGUGUCAUCUUUUGUGAGUGCACACACAUAAAGGAAAAAACUUGAUUUUUAAAAAUGAGACUAAUACUUCAAUAUUUAUUUAUAAAAUAGGAGAAGAGAAUUUCAUUUAACCAUAAAAAAUAAAAAUAAAAAAUAUCCAAACUUGUAGAUGUUUUGUUGGACAAGGAUUGUGUGGUUGUUUGGCGGGAAAGGCAGCCUGCUUUUGGCCCAACCACACCCAUCAGAUCAAUCAAGCGCUUUAGAUCGUACCACGUGUCCCUUAUUUUUAAUUCUAAAAAAAUCAUAAAAACAUUCUCGUUCAACCCCUUUUCUCGACACAUUCUCAGUUUGCACCAAUCUGCCGCCGUGCAUCUCUCCGCCGACCGCCGUCCGCCGUUGUCCCUCUCAGCGCCGGUAUUUGGUUCAGCGCCGCUAUUGUCUCUUUUUCUGCCAUCUUUCGCCGCAGUCAUCUUUAAGGGGCGUUUGAUUGAUCUAACGAUUGUGGUUGGGCUAAAUGCAGGCUGCCUUUCCCACCCAAAGUUCACACAAUCCUUAUCCAUGUUNNNNNNNNNNNNNNNNNNNNNNNNNNNNNNNNNNNNNNNNNUUCUUUUUUUCUCUUUGAAACAGAGGGAGCACUCACUCUACUCACUGUGAGUGAAUGAGAACCUCAAGAACAACCAUAGCUUUUAGCAACACUUCAAGAUUUUUCAACUCACAACUACGUACCCUCUCUACUCUAGUUUCUGGUAACCCCAAAAACUUUAUUCAUCUUUUCUUCUUAUUUUAUGCUGUUGUUGUUGUUAUUAAUUAUUGUUAAUUUGAUAAACUCUGCAUAAAUUUCACAUUUUUGAAUGGAAUGGUAAAAUGGGUCAUUUUUAUAGUCAUGAAAUUGGAUGACCCAGUAACCUGUUUUGUUGUUCUUCAUGUAAAAAAUGUAUAUUUUGCUUCAUAUUGGAUAACCCUGUUAUAUUGUAUUUAAAAGAAUAAACCAUCAAAUUGGAUAACCCUGUUAUUUGUUGCUAACAGGUAAAUACCAUAGGUUUCAAAUUUGGAUGCAUAUGUGAAUGUAAAAUAACAGACACACUGACGAACUUAUUGUGGAGAAGUGGUUGUAAAUAUCUGAUGAGGGUGCUUCAAAUGCCCCAACUUGUAAGACAUGGUCCAUUUCAAAGUCAUCUAUGUUGCUACACUUCAUAUGUAUCUUCAAGGUUGCCGGUAUGUUUUGUUUCAUUGAACCCUUCAAGCAAUCCCACAAAAGACAUCAACAACAAUGACUUGAUUCAAUCGUUAUGUAGAGGUGGCAAUCUUAAGCAAGCUGUUCAGGUCUUGUGUAAUGAGCCCAAUCCGACUCAGAAGACUUUCGAGCUUUUGAUAUAUUCUUGUGCGCAACAGAAAUCUCUUUCGGAUGGUCUUGAUGUUCAUCACCGUCUUGUCGGUAGUGGUCUCAACCAAGACCCGUAUUUGGCUACUAAACUUAUCAACAUGUAUCGUGAGUUAGGGGCUGUUGAUCACGCUCGUAAGGUGUUUGAUGAAACUCGGGAAAAAACCAUCUAUGUCUGGGCUGCAGUAUUCCAAGCGCUGGCAAUGGCGGGCCGUGGUGAGGAGUUGUUAGAAUUGUAUCGUCAGAUGAAUAUGAUGGGGAUUCCAUCGAAUAGGUUCACGUAUACAUAUGUGCUUAAAGCUUGCGUUGUUUCGGAGUUGUCAAUCUGUCCUCUUCGGAAGGGUAAGGAGAUUCAUGCACAUAUUCUGCGACAUGGCUAUGAAGGACAUGUUCACGUUAUGACGACUUUGUUGGAUGUAUAUGCUAAGUUUGGUUGUAUAUUCUAUGCAAGUUCUGUGUUUGAUGCUAUGCCUGAUAAGAACAUUGUCUCGUGGAGUGCAAUGAUUGCAUGUUAUGCAAAGAACGAAAGGCCGAUGAAAGCAUUGGAAUUGUUUCAGCUAAUGAUGCUUGAGGCAUGUGAUACAGUUCCAAAUCCAGUAACAAUGGUGACUGUGCUUCAAGCUUGUGCAGGUCUUGCUGCAUUGGAACAUGGAAAGUUGGUCCAUGGCUAUGUCCUUAGAAGAGGUCUGGAUUCUGUAUUGCCGGUUCAUAACACUCUUAUAACAAUGUAUGGAAGAUGCGGUGAGAUUUCCACGGGACAGCGAGUGUUUGAUUAUAUGAAGAAACGCGACGUUGUUUCAUGGAAUUCUUUGAUUUCUAUAUAUGGUAUGAAUGGUUUUGGAAAGAAAGCCAUCCAAAUUUUUGAAAAUAUGAUCAACCGAGGAGUUUCACCGAGUAACAUAUCGUUUAUUACUGUUUUGUGUGCUUGCAGCCAUGCAGGCCUUGUCGAGGAGGGAAAGAUUUUGUUUGAUUCUAUGCUUAAUAAGUACAGGAUCCGUCCAAGUAUGGAGCAUUAUGCUUGUAUGGUGGAUAUUCUUGGCCGAGCUAAUAGGUUUGACGAAGCAAUCAAAUUAAUAGAUAAUAUGGAUUUCAAGCCAGGACCGAAGGUUUGGGGUUCACUUCUUGGAUCAUGUAGGAUUCACUGUAACGUCGAGCUCGCUGAGAGAGCAAGCACUAUUCUUUUUGAGUUGGAGCCUAUGAAUGCCGGAAAUUUCGUGCUUUUAUCGGAUAUAUAUGCAAAAUCUGGGAUGUGGAAUGAGGUACGGCGUGUAAGGAAACAAUUGGAAUCUCGCGGCCUGCAAAAGAUUCCGAGUUGCAGUUGUAUUGAAGUCAAAAGGAAGAUAUACUCGCUUGUCUCUGUUGAAGAGUAUAACCCACAAAUCGAAGAUCUUCGUGCUUUCCUAGUUACACUGUUAACCGAGAUCAAGAAUCAGGGUUAUGUCCCGCAGACAAACGUUGUUAAGUAUGAUCUUGAUGAAGAAGAGAAGGAAAGAAUAUUAUUGGGACAUAGCGGAAAACUUGCCGUCGCCUUCGGACUCAUUAAUACUUCAAAAGGAGAAACCAUUAGAAUUUCAAACAACUUGAGAUUGUGUGAAGAUUGUCAUGGUUUUAUGAAGUUCGUUUCCAAAUUUUCUAAUAGAGAGAUUCUUCUUAGAGAUUGUCAUAGGUUCCACUGUUUUAAAGAUGGAAUUUGUUCAUGUGGUGAUUAUUGGUAGUUAUUGGCAGAAAAGACUAUGCAGUAUUGUAGUUAGAAUCAUUAUGAGGUAUAUAUAUAGUGACAGAUAUUGAAUGAUGCCAUGGUUCCAAACACAGCAUACAACAAUUGAAUUGUGAUGUACAUUUAUUGCCUCUUUUUACAAUGCAUUGAACAAUGAGGAUUGUGCUUUAUGACACAUUAGUUCAACAAGGUUAGAAAAUAUCAACUAUAGAAAGUUGUUUAUCUUUUAGAUUAUUAUACUAUUUUGUAGUUUUAGAAGUGAUUUAUUUCAAUGAAAUUCUCUCUUUUCACAAAUGCAGCAGUGUAGUACCAAUUUAUUUAUUUUUUUGUUGGUUCAUUCCUUUUACAGGUUGUGGUAAAUAGUUGAAUUAAACAUGAGGACCUUACUUUGAUUCUUGAAUGCCUUCAUUAGGAUUGUGACCACAGUGGGACAGUGCAUGCUAAAACAUUCAAGGAAGAAAAUGACCUAUGGACUAACAACUGCACAGAAAUUUCAACUUCCAAUUUAGGACAGGCUAUUGAUUCUCAUUACUAUUUCAUUACAAUUUCAAUAUAAGAAUACAAGAGCUCUUAUGAUUACAAUUCAAUACAAGAUGUACAAUAGUUCUUUUGAAUAUGAUAUCAUGUAUAGUUUGAUUAUGUUGAAUAUCAAAAUUGAAAUUUAUCUCUUUGGUCUAUUAUGGUCUAUUAGCUCUUUUUUCUAUUUGAAUAUAGGUCAAAUUACUUAUUUAAAUACUUUCAUAUGAAGUAUGCCUUUAAGUAGGCUUACAAGUCAUAUCGGUUUUUCAAAAAAGUCAAGCUCAAGCCUAAAAAUAAGAAUAUGAUAGACUAAGACUUAUGCCUUCAAUAUUUUGACCAGAUCAGGUUUGAGCCUUGCAAAACCUUGCUUGACCCAACCUAUUUUCACCUCUAAUUACAUUACAAUUCAAUACAAACCGUACAAGAGCUCUUCUGAUUAUAAUUGAAUAUAAAAUAUACAACAACUCUUUCAAUUACAAUGCAGAAAAAUCGUUCUAAACAUUUUAGUUUUCCUCUCUUUGUCUGGAUUAGUAAUUAGUAAUCCCUUAGUAUGUAUGGGGAUGUAACGAUGCUAACAAGGACUGGUUUAGACAAUAUAAGCUGGUGAAAUCGAAAAUAUACUAUUUUGUGUGCUGAUUGAAUAAAUUUGCUGCUGUGUAUAGCUGUUACAGGUUAGACGUUGUGGCACUGAUCCAAUUAUGAGAAGCACACAACAGUUGGCAUACUCUAUGUGUCUUGAAAGAUCAGAGCUAGUUGGGAGCAUCGUUCUCUUUUACUGAAUCGGUUCUGGUGUAUUUUGGCUGCAUAAUUGCUUGGUUUGCGGGUUUGGAUUGGAUCUUGGAACAAUAAGGCUGGGUGCAAUCAUCACAUUCUUUAGCCUUUGCUGUCGCUGUGGUUGCAUCUCAUAAGGCCAAUUCCAGAUUGGCUCGGGUCUGAACUGUUUUUGCUUCUAGUGCCUUUGAGUUGUUAGUGGCUUUGGCGAGAGAUCCCCGUGCGUUGCAACUUUGGUUGGAGAUGGUCGAUGGUUGGGCUCGAAAAGUAUUCAAUAAAGUCGCUUGUUAUUGGGGAUUGCAACUUUAGACAAGCUUUCAUACCAUCGUUGUGGAGCUGAAAUUAUAAGAUCUGCUAUAGGUGUUACUGUUUUGAAUUGCUGUUAUACGUGUUGUUUUUAACAGGUUAGGAAAUAUCAACUAUAGAAAGUUGUUUCAUCUUUUAGAUUAUUAUACUAUUUUGUAGUUUUAGAAGUGAUUUAUUUCAAUGAAAUUCUCUCUUUUCACAAAUGUAGUACCAAUUAAUAUUUUUUUUGCUGGUUCAUUCCUUUUACAGGUUGUGGUAAAUAGUUGAAUUAAACACUGAGGACCUUACUUUGAUUCUUGAUUGCCUUCAAUAGGAUUGUGACCACAGUGGGACAGUGCAUGCUAAAACAUUCAAGGAAGAAAAUGACCUAUGGACUAACAACUGCACAGAAAUUUCAACUUCCAAUAUAUAGGACAGACUAUUGAUUUUCAUUACUAUUUCAUUACAAUUUCAAUAUAAGAAUACAAAGAGCUCUACAAGAUGUACAAUAGUUCUUUUGAAUAUGAUAUCAUGUAUAGUUAGAUUAUGUUGAAUAUCAAAAUUGAGUUUUAUCUCUUUGGUCUAUUAGCUCUUUUUUCUAUUUAAACAUACCUUAUAUGAAGUAUGCCUUUAAAGGCUUACAAGUCAUAUACUAAUGACGUGUCUUCCAUAUCAAGUCCAUAGUUAGCUCAACCUAAUACCUUCAUGACAAUGUGUAGCAUUUUUCUAUUUACUUUGAUUUGAAUUUGAUGAUGAAACAGUUGCAUAUAUAGCUUAGAAAUGAGAAUGGAUUCCCUCAAUUAACAUGAGAGAAAUAGUAGAAUCUUAACCAUUGAAUAAAAUUGAGUUAUCAAAUUAAAAAAAAUAACAGAAAAAUAUUUAAGGCUGAGAUUGAGGACACAUGAUAAACAUGAGAGGAAAUAAAUCGAGAGAAUUCAUUCUCCUUAGAAAUCUCCUCCUAAAAAUGCUUUCAAGCUUAAUGUAGAUGAGUCUCACAAUUCUCAUUGAUAAUUUCUUCUCUUGUGAAGGUGUCACAAGGGAUUCUAAUGGACUCGUGAUCGUUAUAUUAAAGCUUUCAUUGUCAUAUUAAAACUUCAUCUACUCGUUACAUUAAGGAUUUCCGUUAUCAUAUUGAAACCUCAUAUACCGUUGUUCAAGAGUUCUAAGGUAUGUUCUACGAUAUCUGUCUCGUUAAACAUAUUCUUUAUCAUUUUCCUCUGUAUGAAAAUAAACACUCAGAUCCUACUUAACACUAUUAAAAAUUGGUAUAAUAAUAUAGCGAAUUUUCAACCUCUUCUAGUUUAUAUUUUUAGCCUUAUAAAUGAUGCAUUUUCACAUGUCUUUACUAGUCAUAUAGUAAAUUAUUUAUUACAUUGAUGCUUACUCACUUAAGCUACUUUGUGAUGUUUAAGCGUUCGUUUGAAAUAACUUAUUCUUAAGCUUAUGCAAAAAUAACUUAUGCAAAUAAAUAAGAUUUUAUGUUAAUUUAUUAAUUUAUAAAUUCCACCGACAACAACUAUAUUUUUAUAAGCUAUUAUUUUAUAAAUCAUCUUGAUAAACUUAAAAUAAUGUAUAAAAACAUACUCCCUCCGUCCCAUAUUAUAAGCAAAAAAAAUCACUUUUUCAUGUCCCAAAUUAUAAGCAAAAAAAACUAACUUUUAUCAUUUCCAAGAUAAACUUUUACUUAANNNNNNNNNNNNNNNNNNNNNNNNNNNNNNNNNNNNNNNNNNNNNNNNNNNNNNNNNNNNNNNNNNNNNNNNNNNNNUCUUCCCAUGAAACUUAUUUCAACAAACACACAAAAAGUCAACCUUGAAAUUAUCAUAUUUUACUUUUCUUAAUAAGUGUGAAAUUUUUUUUUGCUUAUAUUAUGGGACGGAGUCCCUCCGUCCCAAAAUUUAGUCCAAAUACAUCCACUUUGGUUGACCACUUUUUACUUAUAUUUUGGGACGGAGUAGUAUUUAUUUACAUAAGCUGUUUGGAAUAAGCUAAAAAAUAAGUUAUUUCAAAUAAACCAUAGAACCCAACAUAUAGUUAUUUGAUUAAUUUUUUAUAAUAAUAAAAAUAGUUAUUUUAUUAAUUAAUUCAAUUUGUUACCCUAACUUCUCUCACUUUCCCUCCGUCCCUCACCGCUGUUCACAACUUGUUCGGCUAACACUCUCUUCCGCCAUACGCCGUCGUCUCUUCAACAGGUAUCUAUAAUCUUCAAUGUCAAACUAAUUUUCGUGCAUCUUGUUCAUCACUUUUUUAGUUUCAUAUAUCCAAAAGAAAAAGUUUGUAGUAAUUCACUGUGAAUAAUCACUAUAGUAGCAGUAUUGUUUUUAAAUUUAUUAUUUUUAGGUUAGAGACAAGCACGAAUUAGGUUUUAUUUUACAUGUUAAAAUUAUAAUAAUGUAGUGUAAAUUUUGUUACUAAAUUUUGUUACUGGUGUUGGAACUUGUUUGUGUUAUGUUACCUAAGUGAUUGUUAUUUGAAACGUUGGUAGUGAAGGAUGGUGGUUGUUUUGGCGUCAUCCUCUGAUGCUGGUGGUGGGAUUGGAUGUUGGGAUCUUCAUACAGGUUCUGAGCAGAUCCGCUACAAAUCACUUUCUUCCCCUUGUCAUGGACUUACCUCUGUUGGUGAUCGUUUCCUUGCAUCAUCUCAGCUUCGAGACACGGCGACUUCUGCUGGUUCUGUUUUCUUCUGGUCUUGGUCCAAGGUUUGUUUAUACAUACUUAGUUUAUUUAUUGAUUAGUAUCUUUAUUUAUACAAUUUUAUUACACAAUGAAUGAUAACGAAUGAUGAUAAUGUUCCUUGCAUGAUGGGUGUGCAGCCUCAAGUUGAAGUUAAGAGCUUUCCAGCUGAACCAAUUACACCUCUUGCUGCUAAUCACAGUGGCACCUAUCUAGUUGGUGGUGGAUUGUCAGGUGACAUAUACUUGUGGGAGGUGAGUUUUCUUCUUUGGUGUAUAUUAUACAUCAAGGGUUUGUUUUUAAGAUUGAUGGUUGAUUUUUUGUGGAAAUAUUUUAUGAAAAUUGAAGCCUGGAUUGUUUGUGGCGUAUGCUGAACUUUUGUGGCAUUAGGUUGUGAAGAAUUAUGAAUUGAAUGUUGGAACUCGAACUUAGUUUCUCUUUUAUACUGUACUAUACUGAGUUGGCUACAUUACUUGUUAGGUUGAAACCGGAAAAUUACUUAAGAAGUGGCAUGGUGAUAAUACAGCUGUUACUUGCUUGGUAUUUUCUGAAGAUGACUCACUUCUAAUAUCUGGUUUUAAAAAUGGAAGCAUACGAGUUUGGUCUCUCUUAAUGUACGUAAUACUCAUCUUGUCUCUUCAUUUUUUCCAUCUCCUAUUGUUUUUCAAUUUAUUAUUGUGGAAUACGUACCCAAUUGUGACAUAAGGCUACCUGUGUUAACCAUUGUGGAAAACACUAAAACACUACUCAACACUACUCUUCAUGUCAUGGUUCAGGAUAUUUGAUGAUGUGAGAAGACGGGAAGCAAGCAAGAUUUACGAGUAUAGUUUUUCAGAACACACCUUGUGUGUAAAUGAUGUUGUGAUUGGUUAUGGAGGGUACAAUGCAAUUAUAGCUUCAGCAUCAGAUGAUCGGACCUGUAAGGUCUGUUUUACUGUUUUUGUGUUGCAGUAUUUUGUAGAAAAACGUAGUGCUUAUUGUAUGAUAUUUAAUGUUGUCAGAUUAUAUCGUCAAUUUCUACAAUUUGAAAAUUUUAAUCAUUUAUGGUUAUACACCAAAGCUUUCAUAACAUUGGGGGAAAACCAGCUGUUCUUAUUCUUCGGUGAUGAUGUCAAAGGUGCUUUUUGCUUUAUACUUUUUUUUAAGUAUGAAAGGCAUAUAUUUAAGGAAAUUUUGGUCAUGAACAUAAUACUUUUUGAGAACUGAUACUGUGAUACAAAGCUUAGCAAAUUUAUAGAAAUAUGAAAAGUGUAUUCUAUGAUUUGUUUUGCAAGUUUUUCUAUUGUUACUAGAUCUUUAGUAUUGUUGGAGUAACUUUGAUCUAAUGUGUCUUUUCUAUAGUGUAUUUUAUAUCGUCAUACUCAGGUCCCUGUGCUUUUUUAUCCUUUACUAAUGGUUACCUUUUACACUGUUAAUUAUUCUAUGUAAUCUAUUCUGUCAUUUUGGGUCGAUUCUUGCAUACAGAACCAUGCUUCUCAGUUUUGUAUUAAUUACUACCUCCAUCCCUAAUAUAGGAUUCUCUUGGAUUUUUUUUCUCCCUUUUUAUAGGUCCUCCAUCAAAUUUUUAAUUACAAUAAUUAUUUCUUUUUCAAAAUACCUCUAAUUAUUUUGUAUCUACUUUGUAACUGAUAAGUUAGCAAUAAAUACUAUGAAGGGUAAACUCUGAAAAUUAAUACUACUAGCAACUUUCCUAAUACCAGUUAUUAAUAAAAUUAAUACUACUACCAACUUUCUUAAUUCCUAUGAUUUAGUAUACGAGCUCCUAUAUUUAAGGUCAGAGGUAGUGUUCCCUUUCAAGAAUAUAUACGGCAUCACAUUUUUCAAUUCAAUAUUGUGGAAUACGGACCCAAUUGUGGCAUAAGGCUAGGUCUUUGUUGUUAUUUGUUGUUUUUCCAAUUCACAUAUCUUUUUUUUCUCUCUGAAUUCUAAUGCGAAAUCACAUUUUCCAAUUUAAUAUUGCGGAAUACGGACCCAAUUGUGGCAUAAGGCUAGCUUGUCGUUGUUAUUUGUUGUUUUUCCAAUUUACAGAUUUUUUUUUUCUUUUCUGAAUUCUAAUGUAUACGAAAUCGCAUUUUCCAUUUUAAUAUUGUGGAAUACGGACCCAAUUGUGGCACACAUAAGGCUAGGUUGUUUUUGUUAUUUGUUGUCUUCCAAUUCACAGAUUUUUUUUUCUAUUCUAAUGUGUUUUCUUUUUUGAAGGUAUGGAGCUUAUCUAAUGGAAUGCUUCAAAGAAACAUUAUAUUCCCUUCAAAAAUUAAAGCCAUUGCACUUGAUCCUGCUGAACAUGCCCUUUAUGCUGGCGGUGAAGAUGGAAAAAUAUAUAUUGCUGCACUUAACACCACAAAAAUCACUACUAAUAACCAUGUUUCAUAUAUCACUGGUUCAUUUUCUAACCAUAGGUUAGUUUUUGUCCUCUUAUUAUCCAGAUAUUGAAUACUUUGACCUAUCGACACCCUCUCGUUCAUGAUAUUUUAUAUUUUCCCAAAUCUGCAUACAUCUAUGCUUCUUUGCUUGUAAUUGUAACAUCUCAUGUACCUUUUUGCUUCUUUGCAUGGUUAAUUACAAAAAAAAAAAAAAAUGAUUCAAGCUGUGUAGUGUCAUUUAACUGAUUAACUUCCUCAUUCUUAACAGCAAGGCAGUUACUUGCUUAGCAUAUAGCGCCGGCGAAAAUUAUUUAAUAUCUGGAUCUGAUGAUGGAAUAGUUCGAGUUUGGAAUGCCAGUACUCAUAAUAUCAUCCGUGUGUUUAAACAUGCUAAAGGUAUUGCAUACAUUUAAUGAAAUAUGCCCUACUUGUGAUUUGGGAUUGCUUUUGUAGAUCAGGCUUUCUCAUUGCAUAACUUGUUCAGUAAAGCUUGUACAUGUUCUAUUCAUUACGAACAUUUUUAUACAGAAUGAACUUAUAUUUUGUCAAUGCUCAAGUUUUUUUUUUCUCGCCAAAUACAAAACUCAGGAAAUGCAUGAUGAUGAUUAAAGUAAAAUUGUUUAGAUGAGAGAUAAUGAUAGGUUAAUAGAGAGAAAGUUACCCAAAGACAGAAUUCAAAGGUAGACAAUCCUUACCUGAGUCAAAAUUGACAAUUUGCCUUGAUAUGUAUAACAGUUAAUAUAUAUGACGAUUAUCGGUGGUAAAAGAGCUUAGUCUUGUAAGCACUCAUGUGUGUGAGUUUUGCUUAUUGCUCUUAUAAUCUCAGUUGCCAUUGACACUAUAUGCAUUAUAUAUUCAAAACUUAUUAAUACUUGUGCUGCUACUGUUAUUUUCUGAAGUAUUUUUUCACACCUUUUUACACUCGAAUACCUUAUAUUCACACCUUUUGAUUCUUCAUUUCCCUUUGACGAGGAUACUAAUUAUUUUCUAUUCAAUAUACUCUAUAUGAUUAUAUAAAAUUUACGUUUAUGUUUGCCAAAAUGCAUGCUCGUAUCUGGUGUUGUUCAAGUUUAUACUCAGAUUGCAUCUUUUUUCAUUUUUAUGACCGAAUCACCGCACCUUCAGGACACUGUAUCAAUCACUUUUUUUUUUUCAAUAUUGAGUAUGCUGAAGCAUGCAUUCUUUAUGUUUAAUGCCAAUCUUUUGAAUUUUGCAGGACCAAUUACAAAUAUUCUUGUUCUUAGCCCAGAAAAUGAUUCAAGUAAUCAUGUGUCUUCUAAUUUACAAGUAACCUCAAAAAAGAAGGGAGCUCAAUUUCCUCCUUUGGAAAAAUAUACAAAUUCAAUAGAUGAAGACUCGGAUAUAAAGACUAUUGUCAGUCUUGGGGGUAGCAAGAGAUGCAUGGAUGAGGUUUCAUACCUUAGUUCUCAUGUGAUUUCUAGUUACAGUAAGGAACUUCAGGUUAGUAUCUAAUGAUGAUUAAGUGUCUUUAAUAUUUAUAGCUAUCGGUCUUUAUUUUUAAAAGAAAUUAAGAAUUUAAUUCAUAUAUAUAUAUAUAUUGUUGGUGUUUUUACACUGUCAAUCAAACAUAAUUGUCAGAUUAUUAGAAAUGUUUGACUUUAAUCAUAACUACUUCUAAAAUCACACAUAUGAUUCAUUGUGAUUUGCUGACACUAAAUCUUUUUAUGCUGACAAUAUAUCAAAUUAAACUCAAUAUUUAAAGGAUAGCCAUUAUCUAGUCUUGAUUUUCAGUUAACCUAUCUUUUAACCUAUGUCUCAGAAUCAAGGUUCGGCCGCUGCUUCUGAAAUGGAGAUAGAGAAACUAAAACGUGAUUGCCAAAAGUCAAUGCAGAUGGUUAAUCAAUGGAAGAAAAUGUAUGAUAACCUGCAUCAAUUUUGUGUAAAGGAGCUGCUAGACGAAAAUGCGAAAUAAGACAUGUUAUUCUAAUCAUGCAAGUUUUCAAUCUUUGGGAUAGAAUUUUGUAGCAUAUCUCUAGCAUCACAAGGUUCCCUCUGCAGUUUUGUCCUUCUUCUGCUAUGUCUGGAUAUGCGUUUAACAAUGAUUCCUGGCGUUUCAAGGAGUUCUUGCCGUGACUUUUAUGAAGCUAUCUUUUGUAGCUUCAGCAAAAUCGUGGUUUUUUUUUGUUGUUGUAAUUGGAUGCUAUUCCAAAUGUAUGCUUCCUCUUAUUAUUAUUUAUUGAUAAGUAAUUUGUUUGGUUCCUUACUCUAUAUUGUUUUAAAGCCUCUCAGCCUUCAUGUUUUACUUUGAGAUUCUUCAUCCCUUUUGUUGGGGAGUUUGGAGAGUGUUAUACGUACACUACUACAUCUACUUAAAAUACAUUUAGUGCAGUGACUCAUUUUUCUUAUAUCUUUUGUUCAAUUCAUUUUUUUGUUGUUGUUGUCAAGUAGCUUAGUAUUUCACCCUUAAAGUGAAUAAAUGGGGUGUCCGACAUUCGAAUCCCGUUCCUAUAGAUAUCUUAUUUGUCUCAUUGUUAAUCGACAGGGAAGUAACUACUUAUUCUCUAAUUUCAACACCAUAUACUGCUACGCCAAAAGAAUCAACAUUUUUCUCUUAAAACAUCGGAGUCGCAUUUACUCCUUUGGUGAUUAGUGAGAAGACGUUCAUAAACAACCAUCUAAAGUCUUUCACAAUUUCAAUCUCCUUCAAAAGGUUGAUAAUAGCGACACUGCAAUUUAUAUGCACUUUGUAUAGUGAAAUGUUGUUCUUCUCCACCAAAUAGUAUUAGGACCAUCCAAAUCAAUAGUCGGAUAGUCAAUAUCUAAUUAAAUUUUUUUAGUGAACUCGAUUACUUAAGUUGACUCAUACCAAAAACAUAUGUAAGGAUAUCAAAUGUAAAAAGAUUUUCUUAAAUUCAUCGAAAAUAAAUUCAUAAAAGUAUGCAAGCAAUUUAAUUUUUUCAAUAUAAAAGUAUUUUUAAAUUUCUCUUUUUACUUCCUUAACAAAUUUAGCACUUCUUAGAGAACCCCUUAUGCAAGUUAUGGUUCUCACUCCGUAUUCUUUCUUUUUCUUCGCCUAGGGCUACACGGCACUAACUUUUGCCUGACAUUAAGUGGUUUCCGGUCUCAUCCGAUUGCAAUUGCGGGGAUCAAACUUUGGUCUCCUUACUAAGUCCAGCGUCAAUCAGCAUUGAACCAACUAACGAUCGGAUUGGAUGAUCGAUAGAUUUUUAUUAAAUCAUGGUGUAAAACUACUUUACCUAGUCAAUGCAUAUCCAUUAAACUUUCUUUUUUUAUUGACUUUAUAAAAAAAAAAAAUCUCUGAUUGAUCAACACCGUAAUCGUAUUGUCCAAGUUGGGAAUAAGAAGAGUAGAAUAUGGAAGAUCAUAAUUCACAACUACAGAGAGUGAAGUGUGCAUGAGACCGAAAGAGAAAGAAACAACUUUCAUAUUUUCUCAAGCCUUUUUUCAAUCAACUAAUCUUGGUGUGAGUCCCUUUCUUCCAUCUCUUUUGCAUGUUUGGAAAACCUUACGUUGUUGAUGUUUUCUUUUUUCAUAUAUCACUUUUUGUUAAUCAAUGAAUGGUGUGAGUAACUGAGUAGGGUUUGUUAUUAUAUUUUUCAUCGAUAAAUUCCAUGUGUUAAUGAUUUGAUUUAUGAAGGUGUUGAUGUUGUUAGCAUAGGUUUUGUAAUUGGGGGAACAAUUGUAAAUGUUUCUGUCAAUGUAUAUAUAUUUUUUUAAGACUCGGUAUCCGGCCAAAAGACCGACUAAUCUGAAGGACAUCAAUUCCACCUUCCACUAGUGGGGGGUCCAUUUGAAGCAAAGCUGGACUGAUCCAACACAGAAGUGACACAAGAAGAUUCAAACUUGAGACCUUGAGAGGAGCACAUGACUUUGUUUCUGUCAUUGUUAAUGUUUGCAUGUUUUUAGUUUGAGUACCUUGUUCUUGUUUAAGUUUGGUAUGAUGUUAACGUUGAAGUUUUUGGUUCAAUUUGUUGGUCUGACUGAGUUUUUAGUAUAAGGAAUGGUAGGAAGAAUAAUGCUAGCAACACACACUCUUUUAUUGGUUAAAAUCACGAGUCCUAUCAAAUAUGUACAUGACCCUAAUUAGCGGGACCAUAUGAAUUUUAACCAAUAAAAGAGUGUGUUAAAAAAUGUGUGUUGCUAGCACUCCUCGACAUUUGUUGUUGUUUUUGUCAUCAUCGUGCAACGACCUGUCUCCCUCGCCAGGUGAUAGGGACCAGUUUUGGGCUAUUUGGUUGAGUUAUUUUCAACUAUUUUUAUACUUUAUCGUCCUUAUAUCUUAAUAAUUCUUACUAGAGAUUUUAAAUCAUCAUAGUCGACUUCAAAACCCUUGAAUUGGUGAUGUUGGAAUUAUAUUGAAUGGAAUGAAGACCUUGGUUAUGAUUUACAUAUGCUUUUUAUGUGUGAAUAUUAUUAAUAUGAUUUCAGUUUGUACCUAAAUGAAUCAUAUAAGAAUCAUAUUCUUGCGGUGAGUUAUGGUAUGUUCCCUGAGAAAAAGGGAAUUGUCAUCCAGUAAAGGAGGAUUUGGUAAAAAGGGGAAUUGCAGCCACGACAUCUGGCCUACCUUACUAAUAGAUUAGAAUCAACCGGGAAACUCACGUCUGAGGGACUUAAUAAAGGGUUCAUUAAGUUACGAGUUAUCAUAUCUUUGUAAAUUCUUAUGCCUUAUUAUUAUUAUUAUUUCUACUUAUUGCAUUAGAUUUCUUGUAGAUUAUUUUAUUCUCAUGUUCACAUUCCUCCCAGGAUUCACUGAGAUUUAACUCUCACCCCUGAUCCUUCUUUGUUUCAGAUAAAACGGAGUAAUAAUAGCUGAAACUUUGUGUAGCUUUUGCUUCUGUUUAAGAAGCUAUAUUUCUUUGUUUUGUAUUUUGCCCCUUUGAGGGUUGGUACUUGUAAUUAGUCAUGAGAUAAGUAACAUAAGGUGCUACAUUUUCGGUAUCAGAGUCUGGUUUAACCGACCAUACUGUGGGUGUCGUUUUGUCACUGGACAUUCUUAUUGUCAGUUCAUCAAAUGUUAAGUUUGAUCAACUUAGUAUUUGUGCACUAUAUGCAGGAUCAUGGCAGCAAGUGCAGGACUCCGUGGUAGUAAGAGAAAUGCUCAAGCACCUCCAGAACCUAAUGACGAUAGUUGGGAGAAGAUGUUGCAAGUUAUGAAAGAACAAAUCGCUGUUGCCGCUAAUUUGGUGAACAACCCGGUUCAACCUCCUCCACCCAAAGUCCGGAAUCCAGUCUUUGACUUUCUCAAAUGCAACCCUCCUCCUUUCACUGGAGGGGACGAUCCGCUGGAAGCCCAAUCUUGGCUAUAUAGAUUGAAUAAUAUUUUUGAUUGUUUGCAUUGCACAGACGAACAGAAGGUAAAUUUUGCUGCAUAUAUGCUUAAGGGAAAAGCGGAUAAUUGGUGGAACUUCACUUGCAUGUUGGCUACGGGAAAACCAACGGACUGGGAACAUUUCCAAAAAGCGUUCCUUGAUAGGUUUUUUCCGAAGUUUAUUAGGAAGCAGAAAGAACUAGAAUUUAUGCAUCUUCAGCAAGGGGAUAUGUCUGUGGCGGAGUAUGUAACCAAAUUCGAAGAGUUAUCUAGGUUCUCAUCUCAUUUUCGUUUUUCCCUGGAUGAGGAGUUUAAAAUUGACCACUUUGAGUGGGGAUUAAGGCCUGAUAUCCAGAGUUUCAUCGCAGAAGAGAGCUUGAAGAAGUGUCGACUUAAGUUCACUAGCUAUAACACAUUAGUGCAUGAGAGUUACGCCGCAGAAGAGAGCUUGAAGAACUGUCAAGAAGAAUGCGACCUGAAAGGGCACCAGACAAAGGAUCCUUCUAAGUACUCUCAACAUCUGAAGGUCAGAGUUCCUCAGAAUAAAGGCAAACAAGUCCAGACCUCAAUUUCACCCCGGACUGGUAUGUGUCCUGAAUGUGGGAAGAAUCAUCGUGGAGAAUGUUUGGCUGGAAAGAAUGUGUGUUAUUGGUGCAAGCAGCCUGGACAUGUGAUUCAGAACUGUCUUAUGCUGAAACAAGAGGAAGUAACUAACUCGAGUAACUCAUCCACAUGAACGGUAUUUUCUCUGUGACAAGAACGCCGCAGAUGAAAAUCUGAUUACUGCUACAUGUUUCCUUAACCAAGAGCCCUUAGUUGUGAUAUUUGACUCUGAUGCAUCUCAUUCGCUGAGUGUGUACUACAUCUUGGUCUUUAUCGGUCUAAGUGACCGUUUUUUAUGUUGAUUUGUCUUCCUUUUAAAAUGGAUGAAUGUCAUGUUAGGAAUGGAUUUAAUUUACGUUUCUAUAUGCCAAACCUGCAUGUUCAUAUCUUGUAUUAAUUCCAGUUUAUACUCUACAUGUCCAAAUUGUCAGUCUUUCUUGGGGUAGCAUGAGAUUCAUGGAUGUUUCAUAGUUCAUACUCAUGUGAUUUCUAGUUACAAUUAAGGACCUUCAGGAUUGUAUCUAAUGAUGAUGAUGAUUACGUGUCUUUAAUAUUUAUAGCUAUCAGUAUUAAUUUUUAAUUUAAGAAUUUAAUUCAUAUAUAUUAUUAGUGUAUCAUUAAAAAUAUUUGACUUUAAUCAUAACUAUUUUUAAAGUCUCAUUGUAAAACUUUUUACACCGACAUUAUAUUAAAAUUAAACUCAUUAUUUAAAGGAUGCCGAUUAACUAAUCUUGACUUUGAGUUAACCUCUCUUUUAACCCGUCUCAAAAUCAAGGCUCCAAUGCUGCUUUGUCGUACUCUUAUCUAUUGUGGAUUUACGUAGGGUUGUUGUGGGAGUUUGGAACUUUGUGCUGGUAAUACUUCGUAUGUUUUCUUGAACGCCGAAUUUCAACUCCGACAUGGUGAAAACACUAAUGUUCAAAGCUAGUCUUAUUUACUGUUACAUACUCGCAUGAAGAAGCCAUAAACCUCAUGUAUCGCGUGAAGAAGCCAUAAACCUCAUGUAUGUUAUCCAUUGGAUAACUAAUCUCGAAGAAACUAACAAACUAAAAUGAUUUGGAAACUCAGUAGAAAUGGGAUAUAUUCGGUACGAUCUACAUACUAUCGGCUGAUGGAAGUUUUUAUUGAUAACAACCACCUCAAGGUCGAUGGUAAUUGGAGCAAGCUAUGGCAACUUUGUAUCCCUAAAAAAGUUAAAUUAUUCCUUUGGCGUACCAAUGGUUUUUGCUAUGAUUGACCAAGUUGAGAGGAAUUUCAUGUCUAAAAUUGCUAUGUUGAUGGAGACGUAACCAAAAAUGUUGUAACGAUCAGCUACCCACGAUAUUCCAUGUUAUUAGACGCGCGCGAGAUGCAUUGCACGACUGGCUUCCGGUACAAGAGAAACAACACAAGACGCAAUAUGGUAAUGCAUCUAACUGAGUUGCUCAUUAUUUAACUCAGGCAUCUCGCUUUUGUGCUUAGUCCCCAAGUUAAUUGUCCAUAUUGUAUUGGAUCUUCUAUUAUAAAUAAAUGCAUUAAGAUUGUUUUUGUCAGAAAAAAACUACAUGUACAAUAUACUAACAAGGAAUGUCGCACAAAAUUAGGACAAAAAUUUAAAAUUAUAAACUAAAUAUCCAAGGAUUUGACAUUAUGCAUUAUUUGUUUGAUAUUGUUAAUUUUCAUGGAAGAGUACAAAUUCAACCAUUUUUACUUAAAAUUUGAGUCGAACAAAAGAGUAUGUUUGAAAUCCAAUUUUUUUUUAAGAAGCCAAAAUGAAAUUCUAUUGCACUACGAUAUUUUUAUAACUUUGUUGCCUAACUAUGUUUAAAUCAUAAAAAAUAUCUCACAACUCAACAUUAAAAUUGAAAAGGAUCCAAGCUUAUGAAAGAAUAAAAAAAUAAAAGUGUAUGUGAAAAGAGCUCAUUUAUAUUAAUAAAUAAUCAAUUUAAAUAAUAACGAAUUAUCGAGUGAGAGACUUUAAUGUAUAAUUUUCAAUUAUUUUUUUAUUUGAAUACUAAUAAUAAUUUAAAUUUAUCAUUUUUUUUUAUAUUUUUUGUGAGAUAAAUUUUACAUAUUUAAAAUUUGGAAAUAGUGAAUACUUUCUUAAACUUAUAUUGUAUUUUGACUAUUUAUUUUUUAUUUUAUUUACAAUAAAGCAGAUAAUCGAAGCUAGGACUUCUUGCAUACUACGUAAACCCCUCUUCACUAAGACCAAACCUAAUGACUUUAUUUUGACAUAAUUACUUAUUAUUAUUAUUUUUGUCAAAUAUUUUAAUGACUAUAAAUUUUACUCUUAAGUGGAUAAAUGAUAUGUUUGGGUUCGAACUCCGACCCUUGCAUAUAUAAUGCUUUGUGGUACCAACUGAACUAAGCUCAGAUGAAGUUAUUGUUAUUAUUAAUUACUAGCGGGCCAAGCAAGCGCGUUCCGCUCCUGCCUGUGUCUAACUUAUGUAAAAAAAAAGUCUUAUAUUAUUGUGAGUUUGUUAAUAAAAAAAAAUUUGUUGCUACUAAAAAAUCAAGGAUAUUGUUGGUAUUAUUGGUAAGUGUUAUUUCAAAUUAUAGUGAAUGACAAAAUGGACAAAAAAAGCCAGUCCAAACUCCCAUAUUCUUUUUAUAUAUUGUUGAUUAUAAAUUAUUAUUAUUUUGAAGCAAUUAUUAAUUAUUAUUAUUAGAAAUUUAUGAAAGAAAACAAAAAAUUAUUAGAAGUAGAAUCUAGCAUUUUCUUUUCCUUUUGGACAAAGAUAAGCACAUUUUCCAGCAUUUUCUUUGUGAUGAUUAGUAAGAAAAUAAUCUUCUUCCUCCUUAAGCAAACAUUUUCGUCACUACUACUGUAUUAAAACCCCCCCUCUCUCUCUCUCUCUCUCCCCAUUCUUCAGCAUUUCAUCAUAACCGUCUUCAACACGAUAGUCUAAAUUACCAUAAACCCCUCUCAAUUUCCAUUGAUGCCAGCCACACUCACAACAUUUCUCGAUUCACAUCGCCAUGGCUGAAAACCUCACCGUCCUCUCCGACGCUCUUUCCUUACCGUCCGCCGACUUUCUUCAUAAGCUCCGCUCCGAUGAUGCCGUUAGAUUAGGUCUCGAUGCUUUCUACUGCCUUCUUCGUCGUGGUCUCGAAUCUUCCGGCGAUCAAACUUUACAUCUUCACUCAUGGACUGAUUCUCAGAUUCACGCGAUUUCUUCUCUCGCUAACUCAAUCGCGUCCUCUUCUCGAUCUUUAUCAGGUACUAUCAUCAUCAUCAUCAUCGGAACUUAAUUUUGUUUUUGUUGCGUUUUUUUGCUAUUGCGAGAUUUUUAGCUCGUUUGUAUGAUCCUUGUUGUUGCAGCUGCAAUUUGUUGAUUUUUUUUUUGAAGUGUUCGGAAAUGAUUUUAUGUAUAGUGUUAUUUUUGUAACAAAUUUUUUUGGUGUUGUGUGAAUAGUUGAGCAAGCGGAAGGAGUACUUGUUGCGAUUGUGCAGCAGUCUAUAGAAUUUGCUCUGUGCUAUUUGGAGAAAUCUGGAUUUGAUGAUGAUGAACUUGGAAUUCAGGUUGGCUUUCGAUAUUGUAAUAGUAUGGAAGUUCUGUAGUAUGAAAAUUUGAUGAAGAGUAGUGUGUGCAUGGUUUGUUGAGUUUUGAGUAUGAUUUCAAUGAAGUAUAAUUUAAUUUUUUCCUUUUUCUUUAAUCGUUUGUUGGAAAUUGGAAUUAUCUGUCGUUUUCUUUUUCAUCGAUGAUUAUUUUCAUUAAGUCCGUCAGGAACUCACCAAGGUUUUAAAUUGUGGUCGCGGUCACAUCUUUGAGAUCUAGCCUCCAGGUCAAAUGGGUUUCAAAUUGCGGACUUCAAAUGCCUUGGUGUUGCAGCUAGCAUUCCAUAAACAUGUUUUUUGAAUUCCUGCUAUGAGUAUCUUAGCUGAUUUGCAUAAUCAUAAUUGGAAUGAAAUGAUACCCAAUCCAUUUUUUAAGUUAAAAAUUGUAAGGAUUGCUUUUCUGCAAGAGUGCCUUGGAGAGUAGUGUGCAUGGUUUAUUGGAUUUUUAGCAUUUAUUUUGUUCAAAUAAUGAAAAAUGCGAAACGCUAAAUAAUAUUCAAGUUAAUAAAUGAUUUAUUUAUUUCUUUAUAUGUAUGCAGAAAAAAACUACUAUCAAAAAGUAAAGGGGUUUUAUAGAAGUUGUUUUUUUGGUUUACAGUUUUAAAGAAGUUCAAUUCAGUCCUUUUUCUUUAAUCAUUCUCUGGAAUUGUUUGUCGUUUAUUGCUUAAUCAAUGAUUAUUCAUAAUUCAUUACGUCCACUAGGUAACUGUUCUCUGGAAUUGUUUGCCAUUUAUUGUCUGAUCAAUGAUUAUUCAUAAUUCAUUACGUCCACUAGGUAGCCGUUCUCUGGAAUUGUUUGUCGUUUAUUGUUUGAUCAAUGAUUAUUCAUAAUUCUCUACGUGCACUAGGGAUUCAACAUCAAUGUUUUAAAUAUUGGUUGCGGUUGCAUCAUGAUUGUUGAUAUUUAUGAGAGUCAUGGUCAACUGUAGCCUCAAUUGCGACCGUGGAGACUUAAAACACCUUGGUGGCGCUGCCGUAUUUCGGAAAAAUUUUCUUUAAAUCCUGCUCGUCAUAUGAUUCUUAUUUCUUUUUGCAUAGUUAUGAUUGGAAGGGGAAAUGAAUAUCAUACCAGUCCAGUUAUAAAGUUAAAAAUUUUACGAAUUACUUUUCCACAAGACUGUUUUGCAACCUUUAACUAUGUUGAAACUCAAUGGAGCAACAACAACAAAUAUUUUAUUGUGAAAGAUAGACUUGUCAGUUGGAAAAUUUUUUCCCAGCCUAUUGGAUUCCACACACUCAGAGAGAGAGAGAGAGAGGCUACAUAAUAGUGGAGAGGGAAUAUCCUCUUCCCAAUUGAUCCCGAUAGGAUUUCAGUGUUGGACCUCAAUGAUGAAGUACCCAAUUCUCAACUAGUAGGGUGGAGAAACGUAAAAAUUACAAUGAAGAUGAUGGGCAACCUCUAAAGAACAGAAAAAAAAUAAAUUAGACAAAAUAAAAAUGGAUUUCUUAGAGUUCAGCAUAUGUUCGUUUUAAGCCAUUGUCCCAAGCCUUUAUUAGAUACUUAUUAAACUUGGGCACUAAAUUGAAUUUUGGGGCUGGUUUUAUUUAUCUUGCUUCAUGCAUAUGUAUGGCACUGUGUACCAAUAGGUUUUUCUGAUUUCUAUACCUGAGUAUGGUAGGAGAAAAAGUUCUCUCCUCAUAUCCAUUUAUAGAUAAAAAAAUUGUCUGGUGGGCAUAGCUUAAACUUUUUUAAUUGUUUUAGAACUUAUUGUCUUGGUCUGUGUAUUUUUCUGUUAGAGUGAUGGUAUUUUUUUUUUGUGCAUCACCAAUUCUUUUUAAACCUUUCAGGCCAACAUGAUACAUCUCUUAGAGAUAGCUUUGGUUGAUGGAACAAAUAUGGUAGUGGACAUUUUACAACCUACAACUGCAAGUGCCUUAGUGGAUUUGCUGCCAAUGGUUGAUGAUUGUUGUGGUGAUUAUGUGGAUGACUACAAAAAAUGCCGUUUAGAAGGUAUCAUGUUAAUAACCAAUAAUUACCCCACUGUUGUCUUGUCAUGGUUUUCCUGCUAACCUAACCAUUUGCUCAUUUUUUUACUGAUUCAUAAAAGGAUUUCGGUGCUCAGUGGAAGAAAAAUCAAUGGAUUGGCUUCUGAAGACAUUAGCUUCUAAACACAUGCCACAUGAUAGGCAAGAAUCUGGAUUCAGUGAGCAGACUUAUGAUCAAUAUCUCAACACUUUUGUCUUUCUAUCCCAGCACUGGGCAGUUGUCCAUGGAAAAUGCACCCCUCGCCUGAUCUUGCUGUGCAAUAAACUGGCUAAUGUACAAGAUGUAUUUGAUGAGCGGGUUUUGGGCCAAAGUUUUCGAAGGAGGCUGUCAUUCAUUUUGAGAAUGUUGAAGUUACUUGGAAGUCUCAUGACGGAUGUUCCGUAUGUUGAAUAUGAUGCCUCAAUAAUGAGGGCAGUUGCGUCAUUUACUGAUACUUUGUCUAAUUUGUUUAGAGUUAAAGUCGAGUUUGUGAAUACUUAUGCUUCUGUUGACGGAAGUUUUGAUAGCAUCGUUUUAAUGGUUACAGAAGAAUUUCUUCACGAUGUUCAGGUUAUUUUCGGUAAUAGCAAUGUAGCUCAGAAUAUCCAAGCAUGUGUUGUAGUAUCUAUACUAGAGAGUUUGGAUUCUUCUGUUUGGAUAUAUGACAAAACUGAUCCAAAUUCGAAGCCCCCCUUGGCUUUCUUCCCUCGAUUUGUUGUUUAUACUCUGAAACUCAUUAAUGAUCUCAAAAAACAAAGGCACCAGAUUUCUUUUGAGCGGAAAGACUUUGAUGUAGAACUUGUUGGCAGUUCUACUGACUCAGAAAACAGUUCUUUUUCAUGCCUUGUUCAUCGUGGGUCUGUUCCUUUGCUGAAGGGAUACACUUUUGAAGAGCUUAUAAAACUGAUAUUUCCUGCAUCAAGCCAAUGGGUUGAAAAUUUGAUGCAACUUGCUUUGUUUCUUCAUUCUGAAGGAUUGAAAUUAAGGCAAAAACUGGAAAGGUCCCAUUCUAGUUUGGCAAAAGUUGCUGGACCAUCCGAAAUUGAAAAUGCAGUGUGCCAUGAUGAUGAGGCUCUUUUUGGAGAUCUUUUUUCUGAGACAGGGCGUUCUGUUGGAUCUACAGAUGGGUGUGAACAACCACCUGCUUCUGCUUUAGUUUCUAACUCCAGCAAUCAGAAUAUGCCAAUUCAGGCUGCUAUAGAACUUCUGAACUUUCUUAAAACAUGUAUCUUCUCUACCGAAUGGCAUCCUUCCCUUUUUGUUGAUGCUUGCAGCAAGCUCAGUAGUAGAGACAUUGAUAUUUUGCUUUCCCUACUCAAUUGUCAUGGCUGUUGUUCUGAAGAUAAUAUGUCUGAUGGUUGUAUCCCUUCACGUGAAGAUGGGAAGAUUGGGCUCAUCCAUGAAAUAUGCUUUGAUCUUCUGCACAACCUUCUCACAAACCAUGCAUUGAGUGAUUCACUUGAAGACUACCUUGUGGAGAAGAUCCUAAUUGUUGAAAAUGGUGCUUUUAGUUAUAAUGACAGGACCCUCACCCUGCUUGCUCACGCAUUAUCUAGUAGGGUUGGUUCUUCUGGCAGUCAGUUGAGAACAAAGAUUUUUAGGGGAUAUGUUGCCUUUGUUGUCGAGAAGGCGAAAUCUGUUUGUGUAAACUGCCCAAGUAUCAAUGAACUCGUUGGUACUCUUCCUUCAUUGUUUCAUAUUGAGGUAGUUCUUAUGGCCUUCCAUUUGUCCCAUGAAGAUGAAAAGGGAGUGAUGGCAAACUUAAUCUUUUCAACCCUCAAAGAAGUUGCUAACCCAGUGUUGGAUUUGAACAGCUCACUUUUAACAUGUUGGGCUUUAGUGGUUUCAAGGCUGAUCUUAGUUCUUCGCCAUAUGAUAUUUCACCAACAGACUUGUCCUACAUCAUUGCUUGUAGAUGUGCGGUCUAAGUUGAGGGAAGCACCACUGUCUAGCUCAUCUUUGCUUAAUAAGGUUAAUGAUCACAUGACAUCUUGGUCAUCAACUGCAUUAAAAAGCAUUGCAGGUGGAUUGGUUGGACAUGAGGUUUUUGUUGGUAGCUUGAUUGGACAACUAAUUGAUGUUUCCGAGUCUGCUGCUUCACUUAGUGUGGAUGAUUUGAUGAUUGACAAAUUAACUCUGGAUUGGAAGGACAUAUACUGUACUUUUUCACUAAUUCUUGGAUUUUGGAGAGGCAAAAAAGCCACUGCAGUGGAGGAUCAAAUUGUUGAAAGAUAUGUUUUCAACCUUUGUUGGGAUAUUCCAUAUAUAAGCUCUGAAGCAGACAAUUCAGUUAUAUCUUGGAAUCAAGGGCAAUCUGUAGAUCUAUCUGACAUGUUGCAUUUUUUCCACUUCAGCCAUUUACUCGUAGGCCAUCCAGAGACCUUUGGGAACUUCACUAGUAUUCCAGAUGUUGUAUUGAGCUUGCUUCAGAAUUUAAAUGCUUUUCCCAUACCAGAAGGCAUUGAGGAAUUAGGUUGGGAUUUCCUCAGAAGUGGAAUGUGGCUGUCUCUACUGCUUUCCUUCACUAAUGUUGGCAUAUGGAGAUAUUGUAUAGACAAUGCAAUUUCUGGACAUGGUCUAACCUGGACUGAGAGUGCUUUUGGGGAUGAAAAAUAUGCUAAACUUGCCGGAAGCAUGAUUUCCUCCAUGAUUGACUCUGGUCAGUUUUUAUUGCUUGUAAGCCUGUUCUCAUCCUUGCUAAACAAGCAUGUGCAAAUUUAUCAGAAAGCUUUCCUCGAUGUCCUAAGUUACAAACAGAAGGUGGCUCCUGGGUUUUUACCACUCUUACUGCUGAAAUAUACUGGAAUCGACAAAAGCCUGCAGGACGAGCUCUUGGAGAGGAGUGGCUCCAAUGCAGGCGAGCUGCAGUCUGUUUUGAGCAUCAUAUCAAGGUUGGAUGCUGCUGUUGAUAAAAAAGCUUCAAGGAUUCUUCCCAGAGCUUAUUGGGAGUGCAUAUUGCAUGGUUUUCCUUUCAGCUCUUCUACUUCUAGUGCGACUUUGCUCUCUUGUGUUCUUAGCGUAAGAGGAAUCAUUUUUGUUCUAGAUGGGUUACAUAAAAUAAAAGAAGCAGGAAGAAAUAUUGACUCUGAGACUGAAGUCUUUUUACAAAUUGUUGAUACAAUAAUGAUUAUAAAGUGUGAUAGAAUCUUUGAAAGUGUUCAUCAGAAAUGUGACACUAUCUAUCACAGCUCAAGUGCAGAACUCGAACUGUCAAAUUAUACAAGCCUUAUUCUAAUAAAGCAAAUGGAAGGGUUUUUGAAGGACAUGAAUGCUAGAGGAGCAAGUGAUUGUUUUGUGCACGAAUGGAUAAUCUGCAAAAUUGUUGAGAUAUUAAGCAGUCUUAGAAAAGAUCCUUCAAAGUCUGUUAUAUUUCACUUUUAUCUUGGUGUUGAGAAUGUGCCAGGGCAGAUGAGUAAGCUUUUGCAGUUGCAUCUUUGUGACUGUUUGGUUCUAAUUGAUUCCCUAGAUACAUGUUUCUCUGAAUCAGUGAAUGUGAAAGUUCUUGGUUUCUUCGUAGAUCUUCUGUCUGGAGAGCAACUUCCUCAUCUCAGAAUGAGGAUACAAAGGAGAUUCCUUGACAGAGAUAUACAGAGUGUAUCUAAAUGGUUGGAGAAAAGGCUUUUAGGAACCAUAAUGAAAUCAGAUAGUGGGGUGAACUGUGCAAAGGGGAGUUCCAUUUCUCUAAGGGAUUCAACCAUAAAUUUUAUUCUAUGCCUGGUAUCACCGCCAUCUGAAAAACAGUCAAAAGAGUUGCAACAUCAUAUUUUCAAUUCUGCACUUCUAUUACUUGAUAAUGCUUUUUUGCUAUUUGAUAUACAUGUGGCAAAGUCAUAUUUCAAUUUCAUUGUUCAAAUUUCAAGAGGAGAGUUCCUGAUGAAACAACUUUUGACGAGCACUGUAAUGUUGAUGGGGAAACUGGUGGGCAAUGAAAAUCUGCUUCCAGGACUUAAGUUUCUAUUUGGAUUUAUUGCAACUGUCUUGACUGAAUGUGGAUCUGGUAAAGUUUCGUUGCAAAGGAUAACUAAGAAGUGUUAUUCUGGAAAUAGUGUUGGGGUGGGACACACGUCUGCUCGACUGGUUGGGUCCAGAAAAAAUUCUGAGGCAUUCAUCAUUUCCUCCAAUAAAGAAGGAGGAUCAACUUCUCUAGAAUGUGAUGCUACUUCGGUAGAUGAGGAUGAGGACGAUGCAACUUCUGAUGGAGAGGUGCUUAGCAUAGAUAAGGAUGAUGAGGAGGAUGCCAACAGUGAAAGGGCCCUUGCUUCAAAAGUUUGUACAUUUACUUCCAGUGGAAGCAAUUUCAUGGAGCAGCAUUGGUACUUCUGCUAUACAUGUGACCUGACUGUAUCAAAAGGUUGCUGUUCAGUCUGUGCAAAGGUUUGUCAUCGAGGUCACCGUGUAGUCUACUCACGCUCAAGCCGCUUCUUUUGUGACUGUGGAGCUGGAGGUGUUAGGGGUAGUAAUUGUCAAUGUUUGAAACCACGGAAAUUUACUGUAGAUAACAGUGCACCUGUUCGUGGUUCUAACACAUUUCAGUCCUUUUUACCCUUUCCUGAAGAUGGAGAUCAGCUGCCAGAUAGUGAUUCAGAUUUUGAAGAGGACAUAAUUUCAGAUGUAGAUAACUCACUCAGAUUAUGUAUUACAAAAGAGCUUCAAGAAGUAAUUCCAUUGUUACUGGAAGAACUUGACGUUGAGAGUCAAGUGCUCAAUCUUUGCUCCUCCUUGAUGCCAUCAGUAAUUAGUAGACGAGACUCCCACCAUUCUAAGGAUAAGAAGAUCAGUUUGGGUGAAGACAAGGUGAUUUCUCAUUGCAUUGAUCUCUUGCAGUUGAAGAAAGCUUAUAAAAGUGGAUCAUUUGAUCUCAAGAUAAAGGUUGAUUAUUCUAAUGCCAAGGAUCUCAAGUCACACUUAGCAAAUGGUUCUCUUGUGAAGUCAUUGCUCAGUGUUAGUCUACGAGGUCGUCUUGCUGUUGGUGAAGGUGAUAAAGUUGCUAUAUAUGAUGUUGGACAGUUAAUUGGUCAGGCCACCAUUUCACCUGUGACAGCUGACAAGACCAAUGUAAAACAUCUUUCUAAAAAUGUUGUCCGCUUUGAGAUUUUACAACUCGUGUUCAAUCCUGUGGUUGAGAACUAUCUUGUUGUAGCUGGUUAUGAGGAUUGCCAGGUUCUAACAUUGAAUCCUCGUGGUGAAGUGAUUGAUCGCCUUGCCAUUGAACUUGCGUUGCAAGGUGCAUAUAUCAGACGGGUGGAAUGGGUUCCAGGCUCACAAGUUCAGUUAAUGGUUGUGACCAACAGAUUUGUCAAGAUAUAUGACCUGUCCCUGGACAACAUCAGUCCAGUGCACUACUUUACUUUGUCAGAUGACAUGAUUGUGGAUGCCAUUCUCUAUACAGCUUCCCGGGGCAGAUUGUUUCUUGUUGUUCUGUCAGAAAAUGGAAACAUUUUCAGGUUUGAGUUGUCAGUCAAAGGGAAUGUUGGGGCUGUGCCAUUAAAAGAACUUGUACAACUCAAGGGAAGAGAAGUUCAGGCAAAGGGAUCGUCAUUGUACUUCUCUUCAACUUGUAAACUACUCUUCGUAUCUUUUCAAGAUGGUACCACACUGUUGGGUCGACCAAGCUCUGAUGCAGCCUCCCUAACAGAAAUGUCUUCUGUAUUUGAGGAGCAAGAAAGUAAGACGCGGCCUGCUGGAGUACAUCAUUGGAAAGAAUUGUUGGCUGGCAGUGGAUUAUUUGUUUGCUUAUCAACUGUGAAAUCAAAUUCUGCUCUCGCGGUGUCCAUGGAAGAACAUGCCAUACUUGCUCAGAGUAUGAGGCAUUCAGUAGGUUCAACCUCCCCUAUAGUUGGUAUGACUGCAUACAAACCACUAUCGAAGGAUAAAAUCCACUGUCUUGUCUUACAUGAUGAUGGUAGCCUUCAAAUAUAUUCGCAUGCUCCUGUUGGUGUGGAUGCUGGUGUCAUUGCAGCAUCUGAGAAAGUUAAGAAGUUAGGUUCUGGCAUCCUCACUAAAGCUUAUGCUGGAACAAAUCCUGAGUUUCCUCUUGACUUUUUUGAGAGGACUGUAUGCAUCACGCCAGAUGUGAAACUGGGUGGUGACGCCAUCAGAAAUGGAGAUUCUGAAGGAGCUAAACAGAGUUUGGUAAAUGAGGAUGGUUUUCUAGAAAGUCCCAGUCCUACGGGUUUUAAGGUAUCUUCUAUCACUUUUCAGUUCAAAGCGAAUAUAUUACUGUAUUUUGUCGAACACUUUUUCAGUUUGAGAUUAGAGAUAACACUGUAGAACACCAUAGCCUAAGGUAAGGGUGUGUUUGGAAACUUUUAAAACUGGAUAUUUGGGGUGCAUUCUGGCUGUUUUGUAGAUGUAGGUUGUUUGGUUAUCACACAAAUUUUAUAAUAGUGAACUAAUUUUAAGAUCAGCUCUCUCUCUCUCUCUCUCUCUCUCUCUCUCUCUCUCUCUCUCUCUCUCUCUCUCUCUCUCUCCCGGUUCAACAAAGUCAAGAAUAAGCAUGCAAAGUUUUUUGAAUAUUUUGAGAUAAUUAUUUGGAAACAAUGGUUUGAUCCCUUGAGAGAACCUAUUUUGCUUUUACACAAACCAUAUAUAAGCUAACAUGAUUUUAGCAAACAUGUUUGUUGAUGAAACGCAAUUUACACACCCAGGCUCAAAGACAUACACUAGAUUGUGUUCAAUUCAUUAUGAUUUGGAAAGUUCAACCCAGGAAUUGUCUAUAAAUGAUUCAAAAUUUUCUUUUAAAAUUGUUCGGGUUAUAUCCCGAAUACUAAAAUAGAUCCAUUCCAAACCAUUACAUGUUUUUACAAUGUCAUCACUGCAAUAAUGUCAGCUGCUUUUGAUGAUGUGUGUCAAGUGAUUGGAUACAGCAUUUUUGUUCCCUAAUUUCUUUCUUUAUGCAUUUUCACAGAUAUCCGUCUUCAAUUCAAACCCUGAUAUUGUCAUGGUUGGUUUUCGAGUUCAUGUGGGUAAUACAUCGGCAAGCCACAUACCUUCCAGUAUUUCUAUUUUCCAGAGGGUUAUUAAAUUAGAUGAAGGAAUGAGGUCCUGGUAUGAUAUUCCAUUUACUGUUGCGGAGUCUCUUCUUGCAGAUGAAGAAUUUACAGUGUCAGUUGGACCAACCUUUAAUGGCUCAACACUUCCCAGAAUAGACUCACUUGAAGUUUAUGGCCGAGCUAAAGAUGAGUUUGGUUGGAAAGAAAAAAUGGAUGCGAUUUUAGAUAUGGAAGCAAGAGUACUUGGUUCAAAUGCAUCACUCGGUGGAUCUGGAAAGAAGCGCCGAUCAAUGCAAUCUGCUCCUAUCCAGGAGCAGGUAAUAGCAGAUGGGCUUAAGCUGAUUACCAAGUUUUAUUCAUCAUGUAGGCAACAAGAUUGCACAAGGCUUGAAGAAGCAAGAACAGAGCUGGGAAAACUCAAGUGCAAGCAACUAUUAGAAACAAUAUUUGAGAGUGACAGGGAACCUAUUCUGCAGGCUUCUGCUAGUCGUGUUUUACAAGCAGUUUUUCCCAAGAAAGAGACAUACCAUCAAGUAACCUAUUUAGUAUCACUUGGUUCUCUAUUUUGUUUUUCAACUUUGUCAAUGUUAUGCUAAUUAUACUAUCUUGACUCUUCUCACAUUAGGUUAAGGAUUCCAUGCGGCUCCUUGGAGUGGUCAAAUCAUCUUCACUACUGUUGUCAAGUCUUGGGAUAGGUGGUACUGCAGGAAGUUGGAUAAUUGAAGAGUUCACUGCUCAGAUGCGUGCGGUUUGUAGGAUUGCAUUGCAACGCCGUUCAAAUUUAGCAACAUUUCUGGAGACAAAUGGUAUUGUUUUGUUCUCGCUGAUUGAAUCUUAAAUAUAUGGAUGAUAAGUUUAAACAAUCCUCUGCAUGAAAUUAUUUUAUUGAGAUACUUCUAUAUUUCUAUAUGUAGUACAUGAUUUAAACUACUUUUGCUGGUGUAGGCUCAGAAGUGGUGGAUGCACUUAUGCAAGUUUUAUGGGGAAUAUUGGACUUUGAGCAGCCCGACACACAAACCAUGAACAACAUUGUUAUGUCUGCAGUUGAACUUAUUUAUUGUUAUGCUGAAUGCUUGGCCCUGCAUGUAAAAGAUUCAGGUGUGCACUGUGUAGCACCUGCUGUUGUAUUGCUCAAAAAGCUUCUUUUUUCGUCUGAUGAAGCUGUUCAGACUGCUAGCAGGUUUUUUUUCUCAUUCUGUUUUCUUUUUAUAUUCCAAAUUUGAUGUUCAGGUUUUUACACAUUUUUUUUCUUCCAGUUUGGCCAUAUCUUCGAGAUUGCUUCAGGUUCCUUUUCCAAAGCAGACACUGUUAGCUCCAGAUGAUGGUGUUGAGAGUGCAGUGCCAGUUCCUGGCUCAGCUGACGCAAGUGCUAGAAACAACCAAGUCAUGAUUGAAGAAGACACUAUCACUUCAUCUGUUCAAUAUUGUUGUGAUGGUUGUUCUACUGUACCUAUACUUAGGCGAAGGUGGCAUUGCACCGUUUGUCCUGAUUUUGAUUUAUGUGAGGCUUGCUUUGAAGUACUAGAUGCAGACCGACUUCCUCCACCACACUCUAGAGAUCAUCCUAUGACAGCAAUUCCAAUAGAAG